rnacentral:lncRNA from 1 species
GUCCUAGAUCGGUGCGGCACUAGGCGGCAAGGGAAAUCGGCGGCUUAGCCGAACGGAGGGCAAGAACAGAGAUUCAGAUUCGAUUGCUCGAAUCCGCGGCGGCGGGAAGAUCCCCCGCUGAUAAUAACAACUGGUAGUAAAAAAGAAGGCUUUGGAGCAAAUCCCGUGCAGCCAAGCCUAGGGCUCCUCACCAGCGAACGAAGGUAUCAUCCCAGGUCGGGGGCGGAUCUCCUCCGGUCCACGCCGGCCCAGCGGCAGCACCGGCGGCCGAGGGCACGCCGGCCGCCCCUCCGUCCCGCCGCCGCCGGCGAGGUCGCGUCCGGGGGGCUGCGCGGGAGGGGGGACGGGGGAAUGGGAGGCGAGUUCGGCGGAGGGGGUCGGGGAGGAGUGGCGAGGGGGGAAGGUGGAGGGAGGAGGGAGGCGGGAGGGGGAAGACGAACAGUGGUGGAGGGCGGGCAGGAUAUUUCGGUUUUGCUUUCCCCUUUUUUUUAGCACCGUAUUUCGCGGAUAUACGCCUCGGCGGUUUCGCUUUCUACGCCGGGCUUCCCUCGCUUCAACGGUAGGAUUUUUUUUUUUCUUUGACUGACAGGCCGGGCCCACGCCUCGGCCUCGCUGGGGAGAGCCAUGGUCAUGGUCAUGGUCUCACCUAGAAAGAGACUUUGACACUUGAACAACCGGUGUGUUUUUCUUCUCUUUUGAUGACAUGUUGAGCAAGUUGUGGUGAUGAUGAAGGGAAUGGCCACGUAGUUGCUUUUGUGCCGGCGGUUCGAUGUCGAAAGUGAAAUUCGUGGUGUUGUGAAACAGAUUUAGCAACUUUAAUAAAGGUGGAGGAAAAUUCGUCGAGCCACCGCUUGCUUGAAGACCUCGCGGUGAAGAAAGGGAGGACUGGAGGGGGGACAAGCCACUCCUACUAUCUAAAUCAAUGGCCAGGGGAAGGAAUCGAGGAAGAAUGAGAACAUUGGUAAAUUCAUUUUCGUUUUUUAUGUAAAGCGGANNNNNNNNNNNNNNNNNNNNNNNNNNNNNNNNNNNNNNNNNNNNNNNNNNNNNNNNNNNNNNNNNNNNNNNNNNNNNNNNNNNNNNNNNNNNNNNNNNNNGUCUGCAGGUUCUCACAUUGAAUUGUGCCUUUCGUUUUUGCCUUUUGUCUCCAUAUAACUGAAAAUGGUGGGAAUGGCAGAAUUGCUGUUCGUACAAUUUGUCAAUUUGUGUUCCCUAAUGUCGAACUACACGUUGAGAAAUCAAAAAUCAUAUCCAGGUUUGCAUGAGCAUGAUUUAGAAAAUGGAUGAAGAGUGAUCAAAUAUUGGUUAUAAAAUGUUGCCAUUGAGAAUGAAUAACGAAUUUAGAAUCACCUCAAGCGAUAUGAAGAAUUUUUGUACUAGUAUUUAGAAUUGGAUUCAAAUUUGAGAUCGCCACCAGUGACAUGAAGAAUCAUUCAAAUCAUAUGAUAUGCUGCCUCAAUUCAAAAUUCAUUUUAGAUAAACAUGGAGCAAUAAAAUUUGAAAUUGACUUGAAUUGACUGUUGUAGCUUUGAAGACCAUUAGUCAAAUUUUGAUUAAUAGUGUUAUGAUUUAUAUGCUCUUAAGCACUAUGUUCGGUUUACUUGAGCAGGGAUUUAUCAGAAAUGGGAUUUCCCAUGGUAACAUGAAGACUUAUUCAAGUCAAUUAUUGAAGAACCGUGAUCAAAUUUGAGGAUGACCUCUAGCAAAAUGAAUAGUUAUUGACCGUGACAUGAAGAACUACUAUCUUUCACCACUAUUAUAUGUGGAAGAUGGUAGACUCUUAAGUUUUGGCAUCAAAUGGCCAAAAACUAUUCACAUGUACUCCCUCCGUUCCUAAAUAUAAAUCUUUAAAGAGGUUUCAUUAGUGGACUAUAUACAGAUGUAUAUAGACAUACUUUAAAGUGUAGAUUCACUCAUUUUACUCCGUAUGUAGACUUCUAGUAAAAUAUCUUAAAAGACUUAUAUNNNNNNNNNNNNNNNNNNNNNNNNNNNNNNNNNNNNNNNNNNNNNNNNNNNNNNNNNNNNNNNNNNNNNNNNNNNNNNNNNNNNNNNNNNNNNNNNNNNNGGUUCAGGGCUUGGUUCUAUUAUUAAUUUCAUUUUCUCGAUCAUGUAUAUAUAGUUCUGCAUAUUUUGGGGCAUCACCCUCAUUUGGAAGCAACGAUCCUAUACGAUGACAAACCUGGCCAUUAAUUUUGAAAAUCUUUGGACCCCCACCAUCAUUAACAGACCGGUCAAUCUUUUCCCCCAUGGAUGUAAAAGCAAACAAACAGUUGUACUGGCAGAUUUUCUUAAGGAAAUUGUGGCUGCGUGGCAUGCCUUUAUAAUCAAGCAGGAUUUUUAAAAAUUCAGGGGGGGGUCUUAAAGGGCUCAAUGAAUACUUUCCCUGCCUUACAGCAGUUGUUGUACACCACCCUUCUCUUCGUGAUGGCAGACUUCGACUUGACCCUUUCGCGCCACCAAAAGCUAGCAUGGCAGCGGCUGCAACGGUAGUCUGGGGCUCCAUAGUAUGACCUCUUUGGGUAGAAAGCUAGAGAAGAUUCCAAUGCAGUAAGAACAGAGGACUCUGACAAGGCAGAGAACAACAUGGGNNNNNNNNNNNNNNNNNNNNNNNNNNNNNNNNNNNNNNNNNNNNNNNNNNNNNNNNNNNNNNNNNNNNNNNNNNNNNNNNNNNNNNNNNNNNNNNNNNNNUGUAUAUAGACAUACUUUAUAAUAUAAACUAAUUCAUUUUGCUCUGUAUGUAGUCACUUAAUGAAAUCUAUUAAAAGACCUGGUGUUUAAGAACGGAGGGAGUAUAACUUAAGUGAAAAUAUUACAGUCUUGCCUUACUAAAAAUUCAAUAAUCUCUUGAUAAAUCAGAGUUGAGCCAAAUUACCGCUCUAUGCCUCAUUCUUAGCAUAUUUUGUGAGAAAAUCACUAACAUUAUUUUGACUACGAUGAACAUAAUGAAAAGUAGUGUUACAUAGGUUCUUCAGAAGCUUUAUUCAGAAGCUUUAUUCCUGUCAUCGACGUGGAGAGGAUUGGUGUUGUCAAUUGAGUCACUCAUGAUCAUGUUCAAAGCCUCUCGUGAAUCCAUCUCUACCUGAAUAGGUAGGUUUGUCCUCUGAAUAGCCAACAAAAGACCCUCCAUACAUGCACUUAAUUCAGCUUCCAAAGCAUUUCUGCAGGAAAAAAAGNGCUCCCUCCAUGAUGUGUAAAUGACCUGACCCGUACUAGGCCACGAAGAACCAUAACGAUGCACCUGCUCGCCCAUCGGCUGCCCUAGAGCCAUCGAUGUUGACGCUUACGCCCUAUUUCCCUCUGGUACGGACAAACCCACAUACUGUUUGGCUANNNNNNNNNNNNNNNNNNNNNNNNNNNNNNNNNNNNNNNNNNNNNNNNNNNNNNNNNNNNNNNNNNNNNNNNNNNNNNNNNNNNNNNNNNNNNNNNNNNNUAUCACUAGGAUUGCACAUUUAAGAUGUUUUGGUUUCAUGGUUAAAUUCGCCGGAUGGCAACUUUUGUGUUACUCAAAAAUUUGCCAUGGCAAAUUUUAUUUUUGUGUCACUAUGAUCGCAAAUUAAGAUGUUUUUGGUCCAUGGUUAGUUUUGUAGAUGGUAUUUUUUCUGUGCUGGCAAAGUUAAAAUUUCCAUGGUAGUUACUUUAUUUAUCUAUGGCACAAUAGUUAUUUUUAGAUGUGUUCUGUGUCUAGUUUCCAUGAUGUAAUAGUAAAUUUAGAUGUUUUUUUAUCCAGGUGCCAUGGCAUAAUAGUAAUUUUAGUUGUGUUUUUAUUUAGUUGCCAAGACUAUUAGAAACCACCUCUCCAAAUGUUUACAUGGCAAAUUUAUCAAAUUUAAAACUUGGACAUGGAAAUUUCUUAAAUUGUUUCAUAUUUUCCACAUGGUAACAAAUAAUGUUUUAUAUGGUAAUUUUUUUUAUUUUUKGKUAUAUAAGGCAUGUCAAUUUUGGAAUUGUUGCCAAGUGUCACAUGGCAAUUUUUAGAAAUAUUUAAUGCUGACACGACAUAUCUGGAUUUUUGUUAACCACACCUUGUAAAUUUUGAAAUUGUUUCUUAUGGUAACAUGGCAAUUUUUAAAAUAAAAUACCAAAAUAGGCAAUUUUUAUAAAAUUUACAAAUUAGUUUCUCAUGCAUGGCAGGUCAUGAUUUGUUUCUUGGAACAUCAUGGCAAGUAGUAUGUAUAGGUCAUGGAGAAUCUACACAAUUGUGUUUUUUUGGGGAUCANNNNNNNNNNNNNNNNNNNNNNNNNNNNNNNNNNNNNNNNNNNNNNNNNNNNNNNNNNNNNNNNNNNNNNNNNNNNNNNNNNNNNNNNNNNNNNNNNNNNAAAAAAACUGAAUGGGGGAUUUGCACGUUUAUAUGGGAGGGGCAUUUUUGCUGUAAUUCUAACGAAGUGGCAGGGGUAGGAUGGGCGUGGGAGUGAUUCACCGGGGGAGGAAGCUGUGGAAGCUGCUCGGGACCAGCUUCUCCUUUUGCAUGUAAAAAARRCUGCAGCUGCAGUCAAACUUCUCCCAGAAGCUGGCUGUUUGGUUGGGCUGCUGGCUUCAAAGCUGGGGAAGCUGCUAAAAAUCUCAACCAAACACCCUCUAUGAGUUACAUCUUCUACUUGUUUCAUUCUUCACCUAUCAGUGAAAUGAUACACAACCUUGCGUAUUCGAGAAAAGAAAAAAUGAAGAAGUCGGUCGAACAUAACCUAACCGCCGGCGAGAAAUGUCAAGGUUGAAAAGGGGCCCCAAUGAAAAGUCGGACGGAAAAUAAUACAAGCAUUCAUCUAUGGUGUGUUUUACACAAAUGUGCAGCUUUCUCUCUUUUUCUUAAAAGAGGAUAAGGAGAAGGAAAUAGUGCAAUGCCAAAAACGCCGUGAAUAGCCGCCGCACCAAUUUCAAAAUCAGGCCAUGCCAAAAACGCCAUACGGANNNNNNNNNNNNNNNNNNNNNNNNNNNNNNNNNNNNNNNNNNNNNNNNNNNNNNNNNNNNNNNNNNNNNNNNNNNNNNNNNNNNNNNNNNNNNNNNNNNNGACACCGGAGGAAUGCUUUGUGUGUAUCAAACGUCGCAACGUAACUGGAUGACUAUAAAGAUGCUCUACAGGUAUCUCCGAAGGUGUUAGUUGAGUUAGUAUGGAUCAAGACUGGGAUUUGUCACUCCGUGUGACGGAGAGGUAUCUCGGGGCCCACUCGGUAAUACAACAUCACACACAAGCCUCUUACUGAUUUGCCGUUAUCAUUUUGGGGUUAUGCAUUAGAAACAGCUACAUUCACUUUAAAUAGGGCACCAUCAAAAAUCCUUUGAGACGACACCAUACGAACUGUGGUAUGGCAAAAGGCCAAAGUUGUCGUUUCUUAAAGUUUGGGGAUGUGAUGCUUAUGUCAAAAAAGACUUCAGCCUGAAAARCUGGAACCCAAACGACGGAAAAGUAGCGUCUUCAUASGUUACCCAAAAGAAGACAGUUGGGUACACCUUCUAUCUCAAAUACCGAGGGCGAAAGUAGUUUGUUGCUAAAAACGGAAGAUUUCUUCGAGAAGGAGUUUCUCUCGAGAGAAUUGAGUGGGAGGGAAGAUAGAACUUGACGAGGUUGUCGAACCUCUCAUCCCUCUGGAUGGUGGCGCAGGGCAAGGGGAAACCUCUGUCGUUNNNNNNNNNNNNNNNNNNNNNNNNNNNNNNNNNNNNNNNNNNNNNNNNNNNNNNNNNNNNNNNNNNNNNNNNNNNNNNNNNNNNNNNNNNNNNNNNNNNNUGUGAGAACCUGCAGACAAACAACAGCAUCACAGGUAUGGGCAAGAACGAUGCAAAUUACACAGGAUAUUAACGGCUCACUUAUUAAUCAUAGAUCAUCAUCCAAAGCCACGGCACAAGUUUUAGACACAACCGAACAGGUCCGUAAUGGAAACAACGACACAACCAGACAUGCUCCAACCUUUGGUGAGAACACCGACAACACAAGACCUGUGAACCCUGAGACAGAAGCAACGUCAUGACCAGGCACUUACUUGCCACCACGCAGGCGAAGCACCAGGUGAAGGGUGGACUCCUUCUGGAUGUUGUAGUCUGCCAGDGUGCGGCCAUCCUCGAGCUGCUUGCCGGCGAAGAUGAGGCGCUGCUGGUCCGGARGGAURCCCUCCUUGUCCUGGAUCUUSGCCUUGACGUUGUCGAUGGUGUCCGAGGACGUCCACCCUCCCAAUAGGUGAUUGGGUCUUUGGCCCCGGUUCGAAGGGGGGUUCCUUUUCGAACCGAAAAGGAAUUCCUUGGNNNNNNNNNNNNNNNNNNNNNNNNNNNNNNNNNNNNNNNNNNNNNNNNNNNNNNNNNNNNNNNNNNNNNNNNNNNNNNNNNNNNNNNNNNNNNNNNNNNNUAUUCUUCUAGGCUGCAGUGUAAUACUUCCUACGUACUCAGUUCGGGUUCUUCCGGAAGGUGAGUAUUGAGUGGAAGGUGAAAUACGAAUAUAAUAGAUAAGAAAGUAAUUUAGUUUGGCUGGAUUGAUUGGUUAUAGAAAGUUGAUGGUCCUUUGCUUCGAUCUUUAGGCAGACCAAAAAAAARRAAGCAGACUUGAUUAGCUUUGAGAAGGAAGCUUUAGGAAGGAAAUAUUUCAAAACUCUGUAGCUAUAGAGAAAUAUUUGCUUGUCUUUGGAAAUAUUUACCUGUUGUAUUCUGCAUUUGGUCUGCAUUUUAUAUUGCCAACUCUGUUUUUAUUUGUCUCCUUUGUGAUUAUUUUUUAGGUGAAAAACAARKUAUUUAUUGUUGUGCCAUACACUACAGGCUUUUCACAAGUAUUAAUUAUUUAAAUGUGAGCAUGCCAGCGUACACUACAGGUUGUUCUUGAUCCUGACAUUUGCUCUUGUUAGAGCUCACUGCAAAUAUAACUUGAAGGUCCUCUGCAGUGCUACUUUUUACUAAUUUUGAUUUGGCUCNNNNNNNNNNNNNNNNNNNNNNNNNNNNNNNNNNNNNNNNNNNNNNNNNNNNNNNNNNNNNNNNNNNNNNNNNNNNNNNNNNNNNNNNNNNNNNNNNNNNAAUCAAUUAUUCAGAUUAUACAAACUAAAAAUUUAACCAUGUGACAUGCUCAUAACUUGUUGCAUCUAACAAAGCUAACUUAGAUUGACAACCUACACUAUAGUUUGUUGGGGGUUACAACAUGUUCUCGUUCUAUUUCCAAGUGUGGUUGAUCAAUGCGAUAGGUCUUAUCUCUACGGGUUGAUUCCUGUAAGUUGAUCAACUGAGGAGAAUAUAUGUAGCUUGAUUCAAACCCUUGCACUUGGUACCCAACAAGGUGCUACCAAAAUAGAACUUGCCACUGUGCCUUCAACAUGUUUAUUGUUUUCGUAUAUGGUUCUAGUAUUUUGUGUGCAGAGUGCAGACACACAUGUAUGGUAGAAAUCACAUUACAAUAUCAAUGUUUCUUUAUCCAGUGCUCAACAUUUUUGUUGCCAUGCAUGUUCUCGCCCAUUGCAAAUGUGAUUAUACCAUCAUGUAAAUGGUAUCCUAGUAUUAGUGAUUUGCUUAUUCUUYCYUUUUCCGUCAUAUUCAACGAUGUGGAUGAUAGGAUCGACCACCGACAAGAUUGGGCGACACAUAUUGCAUGAAGCAUUGUUGGGUGGGUGGCUUUCUUACCAUCCGGYYUUUUUGUUYYUAGUUUUGGCAUUCAUGUUGCCUCCCUAAGCCUUAUUUUUUCUCUUAAGGAUUUCAAUUUCAAUUUGUAGCUAACAAUAUGAUAAUAUAGAAGCAUAUGAAAAUGGGAAGACAAACGAACAAAUAGUUUGANNNNNNNNNNNNNNNNNNNNNNNNNNNNNNNNNNNNNNNNNNNNNNNNNNNNNNNNNNNNNNNNNNNNNNNNNNNNNNNNNNNNNNNNNNNNNNNNNNNNAUCAUUUUUCUUUAUGUUUUGUGUUUUCCACACUUUCAUAAUUCUGUUAUGAGUGUGUUUUUUUUGUUUCUUUUUGCGUUUGUGCCAAGCAAAACCGUUAUGAUUAGUCUUGGGGAUGAUCGUUUGGUCAUGCUGGGAAAGAGAGAAACUUUCUGCUCAUGAAAAGAAUUUUCAUUUUUUUUUCUGUAAGAGCUUUUGAGUUGAUUCUUUUUGCUGCUGAUUUCUACGCAAAUUCUUCAGACAGUCGUAAUUUUUCAGUAUUUUUAAGUACAAGAAGUAUACGAAGUAUACAGAUUGCUACAGACUGGUCUGCUGUUAACAUAUUCUGUUUUUUGUUGAGUUGGUUGCUUAUUUUGAUGAAACUAUGGAUAGUAUCGGGGGGUAUUAAUCAAUGGAAGAUUGAAAAUAUAGUAACCCAACAUCAACAUUAAGUAGAAUUUAAGUUUGCUACAGUACCUAAGGAAGUGGUGGUUUGCUUUCUUAUACUAAUGUUAUCACGAAUUUUUGUUUAAGUUUCAUGUUGUCGAAGUUUUUUCAAGUUUUGGGUGAAGUUCCUCAUGGACAAAAAAGNUAAAGAGUAGGCAAGAGCUCAAGCUUNNNNNNNNNNNNNNNNNNNNNNNNNNNNNNNNNNNNNNNNNNNNNNNNNNNNNNNNNNNNNNNNNNNNNNNNNNNNNNNNNNNNNNNNNNNNNNNNNNNNACCAGGAGGUUGUUCCCUUCAGAGUGUAGGUGUCAUGGGCUUCAUGUCGAUGACAAACGGUCAGGUCCUGCGGUAAAUAGCCGGGAAGGUGUAUCGCCUUUGUUGGGAAAUGUCAUCUUUGUUCCUUUUUCCUAGCCCGGCACACCUCAACCUGUAGGAUCUCUGUCUCAACUUCUACCUUUCUGCAGAAGAUGACAUGAAGAUGGACGAUCAGAUACGCAAAAUACUGACCUAAACAUCUGAAGCCAACAAAACUAAGAGGAAGAAUUUCACUCAAAUGGUAUUCACUACAAGGGUAGAUAAAUAAAAGGUAACAAACUGGUUAUCAACCACCAGGCUCAUAUUCAGAAUGAUUUUCACAUACAUGCUUGCAGUAUGAUUUUCACAUCAGUUAUGCAAAGCACGCCAUGCAUUUAUCAACCACCUGACCUUAUCAAUGUAAACACAUUCAAAAUUCAGGCAAACNGUAGAUAUGCUCUUGCUACCAAACUCCUUCAUUUAACNCCAANAUUCACUUGAAUAUCGAGAUUACUGGUAUAAUAAAGGAUUACUUAAAUUAGUUAAGGGUUAGUACUUAAACGAAGUAAGAAACGGAAACUAACNNNNNNNNNNNNNNNNNNNNNNNNNNNNNNNNNNNNNNNNNNNNNNNNNNNNNNNNNNNNNNNNNNNNNNNNNNNNNNNNNNNNNNNNNNNNNNNNNNNNUCCGGAGGCGGCGGAGUCCCGUUUUCCGGUGAGUAUUUUCGGCGGCGUUCCGACGCCGCAGGUGGUCGGUUUUGUGUUCCUUAUCUUCCUUCCUCCCCCCUCUGUGGCUCAUCUGUAUCUCAGUAUCCUGCGCAUUUCUGGCGUGUUGAUUCGGCGUUGUUUGGUUGUAGAUAGACGGAAGGCACGAUCUUGCGGCUCGUCCCCCGGCGAAUUCUUGCCGGGCUAUAUCUGAGGAUUGACGGUCGCGCCAGGCUGGGCAUUUCCACCGCGUUUCUUGCGCGGAUUUCGUCGAUUCCUUGGCGCUGCGGCCGAGAAUCCGGUGUUGAACUGGUCGCCGGAGACAAAAGGUUGGGCGUAUGCCGUUUAAGUUACCCAAAAAUCUAUCUGAAUCUGGUGUGCUUCCUGCUGAUUUGGGAGGCUGGAGGCAUGGUGAUCUAGGGUUAGGGUUUUGAUUGCUCAUCUGUGGUUUGCUUGUGUUUGUGAAAGGCAAAGAGGCGAUGGACUACUACAACAUCCUCAAGGUGAACCGGAAUGCCUCAUUGGAGGACCUCAAGAAGUCGUACCGGCGGCUCGCUAGGACGUGGCACCCCGACAAGAACCCGACUGGUGGCGCCGAGGCUGAGGCUAGGUUCAAGCAGAUAACCGAGGCCUACGAGGCAAGUGAAUUAUGUGCAUUUAUUUCCAUGCAAUGUCGGUUGCGUGGCGCACGUGUGAUCCGUUGCCAGUAUGAAAUGGAAUGAUAGAUGUUCCCGUGGGGAGCUUCUAGUGUUAAUAAAUGUUACAAUAUAUCUUCUUUKKUUUACGCAUAUGAAAAACGGUUGCUCGAUUAGCGUGUUCAGUUGUACAUCAUGAUUAUGGAGAUUGACCAUUUAGCUAAARKAARCUUUUUUAAGCUGUGGUGCAACACCACCACCAGCAUCUCCAUUUCAUGCCAGUCAUGCUAAAGAGCUUUUUACCCUAAAUUUNUAGUUUUACCUGGAUCUCCAAGUUGUGCUNUAGGUUCCUNUUGCAAUAGAUNUACAAUCUACGUUGAAUUUACAAAGGCAAGCAACAUUAUGGUUUCAUUGUUUUUUCUUCUUUGCUAAUUUUAGACUUUGUGGCAUUGNNNNNNNNNNNNNNNNNNNNNNNNNNNNNNNNNNNNNNNNNNNNNNNNNNNNNNNNNNNNNNNNNNNNNNNNNNNNNNNNNNNNNNNNNNNNNNNNNNNNUUCUGGAGACAAUUGUCAUUAUGAGCCUUUGGUGCUGAAGCUUGGGCGACUCAAACGUAAGGUGCAAGACAUGGGCGAGUUGAUGGACACCCUGACUAGGUACGCCGAGUCAGACGACACUAAAGAUCCCGGGGAAGAUGACGAAAAAGUUAGCACCGCCAGGAGAGGUGAGUCAUCAAAAGGCCACUCCCAGUUCCAAGGGAAGAGCAACCAUAAGCACGCGGGACAAAGUAAAAGGACGCAGCAGGAAGGCGUCACGAACUUCAUCUCUAACACUAACGCUGGCAACGGGAACCAACGCGAGAAGAAAAGAGGCUUCAGCGGGAAGAAACCACACAACUAUCACGAGAUGCUCAAAGGCCCUUGCCCACAACACGCCACUGCCGAAGGUCCGUCUACCCACUCUUGGGAGGAUUUCUAUGUGAUACGUCUCAAACGUAUCUAUAAUUUUGAUGGUUUCAUGCUGUUAUCUUGUCAACUUUGGAUGUUUUGUUUACCUUUUUAAUAUUUUUUGGGACUAACUUAUUAAUCCAGUGCCAAGUGCAAGUUCCUGUUUUUCUUGUGUUUUUGUACUCUUUUCUAGAUCUGAUUUUGGAACGGAGUGCAAACGAAAUAAAAUCCCUAGAAAUAAAUUUUUCCAGAACAGAAGAAGAUCGGGAGGCUUGAGGGCCAAGGCAGUGGCCACAGGAGCCACAAGCCCUGUUACCGCCGCCGAGGGGGAGGCGUGCGANNNNNNNNNNNNNNNNNNNNNNNNNNNNNNNNNNNNNNNNNNNNNNNNNNNNNNNNNNNNNNNNNNNNNNNNNNNNNNNNNNNNNNNNNNNNNNNNNNNNUAUCAGAUAAAGACUUUGGAAUCGCAAAAACACUAGCACCCAAAUCACACAAAGCAUUGCAUUCAUAGUUUUUGAUUUUGAUUUUGAUAGUAGGUUCCCACUCAUCAUGAAGUUUUCUAGGUAUAGAGACUUCUAAUUCGAGAUUCUCUUCAAGAGAUUUCAUCAUAGCAUCUACGAUAUGAGCGGUAAAGGCUAUGCUUUGGCUAUAAGCAUGUGGAGAGUUUGCAAUGGAUUGCAUAAACGAAAUGCAUUCAGACAASGAGCAACUAUCAUAAUUGAAUUCCUUGAAAUCCAAAGUGGGAGUUUCAUUACUACCCAAAAUUUUUGAUUUCUUCUACUCCACUCUCCACACCUUUAUCAUGAAGAUGGGUGGACUCCGAAUCAUUGGGGCGUUUUUCAACCUAAAGUGGAUUCAUAUCCAGCCCCUUCAUCAAUAGGUUUGACACCCGAAAACAAAGAUUCAAGAGAAGUCACACCAAGCACUUUAAGAUCUUCGUGAUUUGCAUCACUAGAACGCACCCUUUUAAACCAUUUAUACCUAGCGCGAAUUUGGGCGGUUCUUUCUUUGCUCUCAUUCAUGGAGACACGCAUAGCUUUUAAAGUUUCAUCCAAGUUNNNNNNNNNNNNNNNNNNNNNNNNNNNNNNNNNNNNNNNNNNNNNNNNNNNNNNNNNNNNNNNNNNNNNNNNNNNNNNNNNNNNNNNNNNNNNNNNNNNNCGUGUCCGGCGUAUACCUUACACUCAAUGUAUUCUAGAUUUUGAUAAGACUUAAUUUAAUUUGAUAGGGGAGGUAAGGAAGGUUUUGAUUUAGUUGAGGUUUUGGUAAGAUUUUUUUGAUUUCGGUAUGGAGGGGAAGGCAAGGAAAGUUUAAUUUGAGUUGAGAUUUUGGUAAUAGUUGAUUUAUUUGAUUUCACAUAGUAAAUGCAUGACAUGGUUUUGGAAAGUGUUAAUUUUGUUUUGAUUAUUUCAGGUACUCUAUUGUUAUUGAUUAUUAUUUUGUUCGUCUUACAUUGAAUUACGCAAAAAGCCCAAAAGAAAACCAAAGUGAAAGGAUAUACCAAGGGAGAAAGAAAUCAAGGAAGGAGGUGGAGGCGAUGCUACCAACUUCCCUUCAAUGGUAGAGGAAUAAACAAGAUCUACGUGAAAAGAGAGUACACAUAGGAUCAAGAGUUGAGUUCCCUCCAUAUUCUGGCGCCUAGAUGAUAGCCGGAGACGGAGCAAAACGAUGACCAUGUCGUAUAAGUGAGAGAAUCCAAGCUGUCAUGCCUAUGGGCGAGGAGAAGAGUAAGCACUACAAGAAAUAUGCUCAUAUGUGAUGUUUUUUAAAAUGUCGUUGAUGAAUUCGUCAUAAAUCUAUGACGGUUUCAUCCGAGAUCGUCGUAAACCGUUUGAGGGGAUCAAAUCUACAUAUAAAUUACGACGAUGUNAGCCAAAACGUCGUAACCGCAUAAGAUGAGAUCGUCAUAACUUUUAGACGAUUNUAAAAAUNUCGUAACANGUUCUAACUAUGUUGACAUGUCUACNCGUGGGUCCAUUAUAUUCCCACCUCCUAUCCUACGUUUAGUUGAACGGACAACCUACUAAUUCUAUUCAUUCCAAAAAUUACUACGAAAAUAACUUCAUAAAUAACNNNNNNNNNNNNNNNNNNNNNNNNNNNNNNNNNNNNNNNNNNNNNNNNNNNNNNNNNNNNNNNNNNNNNNNNNNNNNNNNNNNNNNNNNNNNNNNNNNNNUUGCCAGAUCGUGUGAUGUUUCGAACUGGUCCACCAUGACAGCCGUGUUCCCUAUAGGAACUAUGGCACCACUACGGCUGGAUGAAGAGGCCUUUGCCAAGGCCAAGGUAGCUGAGUCCACCGCCGGUCUUUUCCCAAGGGAUAGCAUGUCCUCUUUGUUUCCUUCAUGGCCAGAUAUAUAAUCAUCUGCCUCACCAAUGGCAUUACUGGAGGGAUUCUUAGCAUUAAACGCUAACUUUGCGUCAUAAGAUGGUGGUUUUGCUCCCUAAUAUCAGGGUCUUCUUCUUCACUGUGGUAUAAGUUGUUGUCCCUMYMSYUAKUGUGCCUUGAAGCAGUCCUUCCAGCACCUCGUCCUCUCCCAAAGGUAUUUGUAGGUUCAUCACUCGGGUUACGAUCUCUGUCUGAAGCACGACCAGGACCGUGCUCCUGACCUCUGCCACGUCCUCCCUGUCCCCCUCCUCGGGUGAUAGAAUAAACAGCCCCCAUCCAGAUUGUUUGUAUCAUGUUUNNNNNNNNNNNNNNNNNNNNNNNNNNNNNNNNNNNNNNNNNNNNNNNNNNNNNNNNNNNNNNNNNNNNNNNNNNNNNNNNNNNNNNNNNNNNNNNNNNNNAUAAUUUUUGAUGGUUUCAUGUUGUUAUCUUGUCAUUCUUUGGAUGUUUUUAUGUACCUUUUUAUAACUUUUUUGGGACUAACUUAUUAAUUUCAGUGCCAAGUGCCUAGUUCCUGUUUUUUCUGUGUUUUGGCUCUUUUUCAGAUUUGAUUUAGGAACGGAGUCCAAACGGAAUAAAAUCCCCGAAAUUGAUUUUUUUUCCCGAAUGAAAGAAGAUCAGGGGGCUUGUGGGCCAAGYCAGGAGGGCUACAGGGAGCCMACAAGCCCCCAUUCCGCCACYAGGGGSGCGCGGUGGGCAKGCUUGUGGCCUCCCUGGYGCCCCCUGACCUAGAUCUUGCRCCUAUAUAUUCCCUAAAAAUCAGAAAAAAAAAUCAAAGGGAUCCACGAAAAUACUUUUUCGCCGCCGCAAGCUUCCGUUUYCGCGAGAUCUCAUCUSGAGACCCUUCCCGGUGCCCUGCCGGAGGGGACUUUGGAGUUGGAGGGCUUGUACAUCAACAUCAUCGCCCCUCCAAUGACUCGUGAGUAGUUCACUUCAGACCUACGGGUCCGUAGUUAGUAGCUAGAUGGCUUCUUCUCUCUCUUGGAUCUUCAAUACAAAGUUCUCCAUGAUCUUCAUGAAGAUCUAUCCGAUGUAAUCUUCUUUGGCGGUGUGUUUGUUGAGAUCCGAUGAAUUGUGGAUUUGUGAUCAGAUUAUCUAUGAUAUAUAUUUGAGUCUUUGCUGAUUUCUUAUAUGCAUGAUUUGAUAUCCUUGUAAGUCUCCCUGAGUCUUGGGUUUUUUCUGGCCAACUAGAUCUAUGAUUCUUGCAAUGGGAGAAGUGCUUGGUUUGGGUUCUUACCGUGUGGUGACCUUUCCCAUUAACAGUAGGGCAGCAAGGCACACAGGGAUAGGNNNNNNNNNNNNNNNNNNNNNNNNNNNNNNNNNNNNNNNNNNNNNNNNNNNNNNNNNNNNNNNNNNNNNNNNNNNNNNNNNNNNNNNNNNNNNNNNNNNNGUCACCACGUAAAACAUGCAACAACAAAAUUAGAGGACGUCUAACUUGUUUUUGCAGGGUAUGCUUGUGAUGUGAUAUGGCCAAUGAUGUGAUCGUGAUAUAUUGGAUGUAUGAGAUGAUCGAUGUUGUAAUAGAUAAUAUCGACUUGCACGUCAAUGGUACAGCAACCGGCAGGAGCCAUAGGGUUGUCUUUAAACUAACGUUUGUGCUUGCAGAUGCGUUUACUAUUUUGCUAGGAUGUAGCUUUAGUAGUAAUAGCAUGAGUAGCACGACAACCCCGAUGGCAACACGUUGAGGGAGAUCAUGGUGUGGCGCCGGUGACAAGAAGAUUGUGCCGGUGCUUUGGUGAUGGAGAUCAAGGAGCACGUGAUGAUGGCCAUAUCAUGUCACUUAUGAAUUGCAUGUGAUGUUAAUGCUUUUAUGCACCUUAUUUUGCUUAGAACGACUGUAGCAUUAUGAGGUGAUCUCUCACUAAAAUUUCAAGACGAAAUUGUGGUUCUCCCCGACUGUGCACCGUUGCUACAGUUCUAUCGUUUACGAGUACACCACGUGACUGAGUCGGGUGUGAUAGACUCACGUUNNNNNNNNNNNNNNNNNNNNNNNNNNNNNNNNNNNNNNNNNNNNNNNNNNNNNNNNNNNNNNNNNNNNNNNNNNNNNNNNNNNNNNNNNNNNNNNNNNNNAGGAUCUGAAUGUUAGUUCCCAACAAAGUAGCCAUAUUAUAUAGAACCACCAUAUUGUUCCGAUUGCAUGUCUCUAGAUCACAUAAGUCUGUACACUUGCUGUAGCCAGAUUCAAAUAAUGCUUUAACUUUAGUAGUUAUCAUCUACUUCUGUUUGAGUUUGAGUAAAAUAUCUACAUAUAGAUUUUGUGUGCUGGUUUGAUUACUUCAAAUAAUCCAUUUCUUGGUCUGGUUUGGUGGCAUUCUUGUUUGGUUUCUCUUGCAGAAUGUGAAAUAGAUCUGCCACUAAUGUCUAUCAUUUUCCUCCAUAUGCUAGCUUGAGAUGGAAAAAAUGAAGGACGCGCCGAUACCAGAAGGUGAAGAACCAAAGUCUGAUGCUGAGAUUGUUGAAGAAGUGCUCAAGACCAAAGUUAACCAAAGCACAUUCCUCAGGAAUGUUGGGCUCAAGUCAUCUAGUAAGAACUCUGGCAAAGGAACUGCUGUUGUGGCUGCUCAUGUUCGUGAUCUUCAGCAGAAGCUGGAGAGGUUGGAGCUUAAGCUGAAGUGAUGCAAGAAGAAAUGGCAGCAAUCAAGCUAAAGGCGGAAGAAUAUGAAGUUGCACACGACAAGGAACUUGAGCUGCUGCGCAAGAAGUCUCAGGAACAGGAAGAUAAGUUAGCCCACUUGAUGGCUCUCUUCGGCACUAAAGCAUUGUAGAAGUUGAACCUGUCGUAGAACCUGUCCUAGCAAUGGUGAAGUGGGCUAACUUCUCAAGAACCUGAUGAAGUUAGCCCACUUGAUUGGUCAUUCUGGUGAUCAAACAAUGUCUUGCUCUAUUUUGUGAAGGUGUGCACGUGUGAAGUUGUCAAUUAUUUAAGUUUUGUUUGGACCAUUUUGUUUGGGCACUAAAGUCAGUUUGGACAGCAAAAAGGCCGAGGCCCAAACAAGAAAUAGACUAAGAAGACUUGGGCCUAAAAAAAGAGUAGGCCAAGGCCCAAAAGAAAAGUGGACUAAUAAAAAACCUGCUCAGUAAAAGAUUCUAUCCCAGAAAAUAAAAGGCCAAAUUAUUGGGCCCGGCCCAUGUAGACAAUCGGAAUGGACCGGGUUGAAUCUUAUUUACGACCUUUUCAUUUGGUCAUAAUUCUGCCACGUCAGGCUGCCACGAUGGAUCUGACGUGGUGCGGGCAGAUUGCUAGUGACCAAAUCAUUUGGUUGUUAAACCUACGACCUUCUGUUUGGUCAUAAAAUCUUAUGACCAAUCCAGAAAAAAAAAGUCGUUAUAGUUCACUAAAGACCCUCAGCUUUAGACCUUCUGUUUUUGGUCAUAAAAAGGUCACAAAUGGAAAUCAAUGACCAUUCAUUGACCAAUAUUGAAGGUCGUUAGUUGAAAUAUUUCUUGUAGUGACUGUGGGAUGGUAAAUAUUCCCCAGCUGAAUUAUUACGUAGGGCACCUCGGUGAAGAGGAUGUUCCUCCUCUUAAAACAUUCAAGAGGUUAAAAGUUUCAUAAGCUGGAAAAAAAAUUAUGUACGGACUUGACGUCUUAAUUGAAUCAAUUUUUUGGUGCCAAUCCAAAAAAUUAAAUAAAUAUGUGUUUCGAUCGUGCUUUAACAUGAUACAUCCUAUCUCCACACUUCAAGCGAGUCAGCCUUUGGCUUCAACAUCCAUAUCACGAAGGUAGGGUGUUUCUCCGAGGCCUGUUUAGCAAACUAAACUCGGGCGGCUUUACAAAGAAACCAGGCUAUCCCGCUAUUGACCACACACUAGUGUCGGGAAAAGGAUUACUAGAAAACGACUUUGCAACAACCAAUAAGAAAAAACAUUUAUUUAUAAAACGACUCAUAUAAAUUUAAGAGCCCCCGUUUAACGUGGGUAAAGAAAGUGUUUUUAACAAACAAUGCUUUUAGGAAGCUAAGUUUUAACAAACAACUCUUGUGUUUAACACAAAUAUUAUGCUUGGCUGAACCACGUAGAAAUUUAAAAUUUAAAAAAGGUUGAGCAUGAAAGCGACUUAGCUGGUUAAAGUGCGCAAUGUGACGUAGGCCGAGCUAUGGUGGGACAAGGUCCCGGUCCCCAAGACUCUCACGAGGUAGCCAAUGAAGAGCUCGGUUUCAUGAAGUGACAACAAAACACUUCAGAAGGCCCGAGGUGAAAACCCUGGUCCAUCCGAGGACAAAAAGUAGUUCAGCAAUCUAACGGUGAAGCCCCCACAUUAGUCGACCAUCUUGAUGACGCAAUUCGGUUGACGGAGGAGUGAAGACGACGUCGACGUGCCGAGGUGACUGUCUAACACGGUUGGAGUCGAUCACCUGUGCACAUAAAAUAGUGCAAGCCAAAAAUAAUAUCAAAUAAUAAUAAAAAUCCUCUACUUAAUUAACUUAAGUGAAGUAAAUAAUUAGAAAAAUAUAGCCUGAACGCCGAGGUUCCUGAGCGAAGAUCUUGGCUUGAUGAAGUCGCAAUUUAGCACGAUCGAUGUGGUGAGACGAAGCCGUCCAGUCCAGCCAAGGUGAUGAAGUCGGUCGGCUGGUGACGCCGAAGUACUCGGAGCAGGUUGAUGAAGGGAGCUCGGAGCCCCCGGUCUAGCCAGGGUGACGGAGUAGAUCGGUAAGGCAGGACUAGAGCCCCCAUGUGAGCCGAUGUGUUAAAGCAGGUCGGCGUGGCAGAUGAUGGCUUGAAGCGACAGCGGGGCGAUGCCGGCGCAGGUUGAAAUUUGCGACGCGGUUAGUGCUGGCUUGAUGAAGCAACAGAGUGUCCCUUCCGUGCAACCGUGGGUGAUGAGGUUCUCUUAAUGAUUAUUCGACCCUCGCCAUGCCAAACUUUUGGUCGGCUGACCGAGAUGAUGAUCUGAGAUGGUUGUCGUUGGCUCGAUAGAACGACGACGCAGUCGAUGCCGACAUAGCUCGAAAGCCGUGGAGCAACAUUAUCGGGCCGGUUUGACACCGGCGCGAUGGUGAAGAUUUCCUUGGAAAAGGCUCAAAACUUAUUGGCAUGUGUUUUAGAAUAACACAUAAUACCUUAAAAAAAUUCUUCCAAAAGGAUGUCCAAAACCCCGUUCAUGAAGAAAGAUGAUCUUGGGUCGGAUUCGUUUUCGCGAGGAAAACAGAUCCAAAAUUCGCUGUACUCAUCGGAUAUUUCACCGAGUUUGGAUGGUUCGAUCUGUUUGAAAUAUUGAGGGAUGAUUUCUAUAGAAAUUCCGCAAACGGUGAAUGGUGGGAUUUUCCAACGGAUGUCCGAUCUUGAUACUCGACCCCUCACACUAAACUCAUCGAGAUUUCCCAUCCAGAUUCGAUAGGACUCCGGUAUAUCAGAGAUCACCGGAGAUUCCUCCAUUGGAACAUGACGAAAUUUUGUAGGGUUGUUGUAUAUAAAAUUCCGCACAAUUCCACUGAAGAAAUCGUCAAAGAGAUGCUCGAGGAAACGGGGACAACGAACACAAAUUCGUUGUCCGGAAAAACUUCAAUACUCUGCAUAUGAGCCAUCAAUCCUUCUGUCGAUCACACAGCGGAACUCUCAAUUAAAGCACCAAUGUCGGUGUCAAAACCGACGGAUCUCGGGUAGGGCGUCCAAACUAUGGAUCUUGGAUUGAUGGGUAACAAGGGACGACGGAGACGAUGUUUUACCCAGGUCCGGGCCUCUUGAUGGAGGUAAAACUCUACAUCCUACUCUUGUUGUAUUGAUGAUGAAGUAUCGAGUACAGAGUUGAUCUACCUCAAGAUCAUAUGUUGUGAUCUAAAACCCUAAUGAUGUAGAUGUUUGAUACGUCUCCAACGUAUCUAUAAUUUUUUAUGGUUCCAUGCUAUUAUCUUGUCAAACUUUGGAUGUUUUGUAUGCAUUUUAUAUCUUUUUGGGACUAACUGAUUAACUCAGUGCCAAGUGCCAGUUCCUUUUUUCCGUGGUUUUGACCUUUUUCAGAGGAGAAUAUCAAAUAUUUUUUUCCGGAACGGAAGAUAUGCAUGGAGCUUGAGAACCAAGGCAAAGGCCACCAAGGGAUUCCACAAGCCCCCUAGUCGCGGCCUAGGGGCGCGCCUAGCAGGCUUGUGGGCCCCCCAUGGCUCCUUUGCCCUGCUUCUUUCGCCUAUAAAUCCCCAAAAAAUUCUGAAACCACGGGAGGGAGCCACGAAAAUACUUUUCCGCCGCCGCAAGCUUGUGUCUCCACAAGAUCCCAUCUCAGGCACGUUCUAGUGCCCUGUCGGAGGGGGGAUUCGGACACGGAGGGCUUCUUCAUCAACACCAUUGCCUCUCCGAUGAUGCAUGAGUAGUUCACCAUAGACCUUAGGGUCCAUAGCUAGUAGCUAGAUGGCUUCUUCUCUCUCUUGGAUCUUCAAUAUAAAGUUCUCCAUGAUCUUCAUGGGGAUCUAUCCGAUGUAAUCCUCUUCUGCGGUGUGUUUUUCGAGAUCCGAUGAAUUGUGGAUUUAUGAUCAGAUUAUCUAUGAAUCUUAUUUGAGUUUCUUCUGAUAUCUUAUAUGCAUGAUUUCAUAUCCUUGUAAUUCUCUUCGAGUUGUGGGUUUCGAUUGGCCAACUUGAUCUACAGUUCUUGGAAUGGGAGAAGUGCUUGGUUUUGGGUUCAUACCGUGCGGUGACCUCACCCAGUGACAGAAGGGGUAGCGAGGCACGCAACAUGUUGUUUCCAUCAAGGUUAAGAAGAUGGGGUUUAUAUCUAUUGCAUGAAUUUAUCCCUCUACAUCAUGUCAUCUUGCUUAAGGCGUUACUCUGUUUGUCAUGAACUCAAUACACUAGAUGCGUGCUGCAUAGCGGUCGAUGUGUGGAGUAAUAGUAGUAGAUGCAUUAACUAUCGGUCUACUUUUCUUGGACGUGAUGCCUAUAUGUAUGAUCAUUGCCUUAGAUAUCGUCAUGACUUUGCGUGGUUCUAUCAAUUGCUCGACAGUAAUUCGUUCACCCACCGUAAUAUUUGCUAUCUUGAGAGAAGCCUCUAGUGAACACUAUGGACCCCGGGUCCACUCCACAUCAUAUUUUCAGCCUUACACUUUUACCUUGUUGCACCUUCCGCCUUCACAUCUCACCUUGCAGUUAACCGUUAAGGGAUUGACAACCCCUUUGUAGCGUUGGGUGCAAGUUUGCUGUUUUUGCGCAGGUACUAUGGAGACUUGGCUUGAUACUCCUACUGGAUUGAUACCUUGGUUCUCAAACUGAGGGAAAUACUUACUGCUACUGUGCUGCAUCACCCUUUCCUCUUCAAGGGAAAAACCAACGCAAGCUCAAGAGGUAGCAAGAAGAAUUUCUGGCGCCGUUGCCGGGGAGCAUCAAGUCAAGAAUAGCCUUCCUCCAACGUGUCAAUUUCUGGCACCAGGGACUAUUCUAAGUGAAGCUUAUCCCAGUAACUGUCGCAAACUCAUCUCUUGCAUUUACUUUUUUUCCUCUCGUUUUCCUCUCCCCCACUUCUGAAAAACAAAAAAUUACAAAAAAUAUUUGCCUUUUUUGUUCGCCCUCUUCUUUCGCUUGCUUUUUGCCUGCUUGUGUGGGAUAGUCUACCUGUCCUCAUGGCUAGACCUACCACUUUGAACGAUACUCCCGAGAGCAAAGUUCUCAAUUUCAAACAAAAUGAGGAAGAAAACUUAAAGGAUGCUUGGUAUAGGAUUUGCAAUGCUCAGAGUAGAUCUACUCGUAAGCAAUCUACUACCAUCCUGCUUCACAGCUUUUAUGUGGGUUUUUCCCCUUGGAAUAGGUAUGUUCUUGACACCAUCGUAGGCAAAAAUUUCUUGGGUAGCCAUCCCAUUGAUUCUUAUGGUGCUUUAAUAAAUUUGGUAGGCUCACCCCCACUCAUGGUUAAUGGAACUACCUUAACUAUGGAACAUGUGAUGCGUAGGCUGGAUAUCAUUGAAAAUAAAGUUGCUACGAUUGAACUCAUUGAGAAUUUGGAUAAAAAGAUCCACAAUCAAAUCACUUAGUACGGAUCCAAGGUGGGAAUGACUUUGAAAAUUUUAAAGGAGAGGGAACCCACAGUUAACGAAAAACUAGGUCAUGAUUUCGCUAGGAUUGGCAAACUAGAGGAUGUUAUAACCAACUUGGGUUCCGCUUUUGCCGCUCUGCAGAACACUCCAAAUUUUGCCCCCAAUAAGGCCACCAAGUAUGUUUUUGUUCCUAAAAAUAGUGGUGAACCAUCUAGUAAGAGAUAUGAAGACCGUAAGAUGAUGAGUGUUCACCCUACUUAUGGUUUGAGUACCAAAGACGACGAUACGUGAUUCUAUCGCCUUAUUCCUAGCUAAGGGCGUUAAACAAUAGCGCUUGUUGGGAGGCAACCCAAUGAAUUUAUCUUUGCUUUUUGCAUUCUGUUUUGUUGCGUCCACACCAUCAUAAAUCUGUUAUGAUUGUGUAUUUCGUGUUUCUUUUCAUGUUUGUGCCAAGUAAAACCUCUAUGACUAGUUUUGGUGAUGUUUGUUUGAUCGUGCUGAAAAAGACAGAAACUUUUCACUCACGAAAUUAUUUUUCAAUUUUAUCCAGAAAGAGCUUUUGAGUUGAUUCUUUUUUCUUCUGGUUGAUAUACCAAUUUCCCAAAUUGUCAAAAAAAAUCAGAAUUUGUGAGAUAUCAGAAGUAUACGAAGUAUACAGAUUGCUAUAGACUGGUCUAUUUUUGACAGAUUCUGCUUUUGUUGUGUUGAUUGCUUAUUUUGAUGAAACUAUGGAUAGUAUCAGGUGGUACUAGCCAUGGAAAAGUGAGAAUACAGUAAUAUGACACCAAUAUAAAUAGAAAUCAAGUUUUCUACAGUACCUAAAGAGGUGGUAGUUUGUUUUCUUGUGCUAAUGAUAUCACGAGUUUCUAUUUAAGUUUUCUGUUGUGAAGUUUUCAAGAUUUGGGUGAUGUUCUCAUGGACAAUGGGAUAAAGAGUGUAAAGAGCUCAAGCUUGGGGAUUCCCAAGACAUCCCAAGCCAAAUUCAAGGACACCAAAAAUCCUAAGCUUGGGGAUGCCCCGGGAAGGCAUCCCCUCUUUCGUAUUCAAUCCAUCGGUAACAUUACUUGAAGCUAUAUUUUUAUUCACCGCAUGAUAUGUGUUUUGCUUGGAGCGUCGUGUAUUAUAGGAGUCUUUUCUUUUUGUUGUGUUACAAUCAUCCUUGCUACACACCUUUUGAGAGAGACAUGCACUCAUCGUGAAUUUGCUAGAAUACUCAUUGAGCUUCGCUUAUAUCUUUUGAGUUAGGCAAUUUAGUUCGCAUGUGCUUCACUUAUAUCUUUUCAGUUAGGUAACUUUGCUCUAGUGCUUCACUUAGAUCUUUAUAGAUCACGGCGGUGUCAUAUUUUGGAGAAAUAAGAACUCUCGAUCUUCACUUAUAUCUUUUCGAGAGUGCUCUCUUUGAGUAGCUGAGUAGUUAGCUUGUGCUAUGAAAGUAGUCCUAAAGAUGAUAGGCAUCCAAAGAGGAUACAAUAAAACUUCCAUAUUCAUGUGCAUUGAUUAGUAAAGAGAAGUUUGAUUCCUCUCAAUUAGUUUUGAGACAUGGAUUUGGUAAUAUUAAGAGUCAUGUUAGUAAGGUGUUGGGAAUCUAGAAAUACUUGUGUCGAAGUUAGUGAUUCCUGUAACAUGCACGUAUGGUGAACUGCUAUGUUAGGAAGUCGGAGCAUAAUUGAUUUAUUGAUUGUUAUCCUUUGUGUUGCGGUCGGGAUCGCGUGAUGGUUAACACCUACCAACCCUUCCCCUAGGAGUAUGCGUUUAGCACUUUGUUUCGAUUACUAAUAAAAACUUUCGCAAUAAGUAUGUGAGUUCUUCUUGACUAAUGUGAGUCCAUGGUAUUGAUGCACUUUCACCUUCCAACAUUGCUAGCAUCUCUAGUGUCGUGCAACUUUUUCCGGUGCACAAACCCACCAUAUACCUUCCUCAAAACAGCCACCAUACCUACCUAUUAUGGCAUUUUCAUAGCCAUUCCGAGAUAUAUUGCCAUGCAACUCCCACUGUUCCAUCUCAUGACUUGUCCCGUCACUUACAUAUUGCCAUUGCAUGAUCGUAAGAUAGCUAGCGAGAUGUUUCAACGUCAUACGCCAAGCUAGAUCGUUGCACAUCCCGGUACACUGCCGGAGGCAUUUCCUAUAAGAGUCAUCAUUGUUCUAAGCAUUGAGUUGUAAGUAAUUAAAAGUGUGAUGAUCAUCAUCAUUAGAGCAUUGUCCCAUGUGAGGAAAUAAAAAAAAGAGGCCAAAGAUGCCCACAAAAAAAUGGAAAGAGGCCAAAGAGCCCAAACAAAAAAAGAGAGAAAAAGAGAGAAGGGACAAUGCUACUAUCUUUUUCCACACUUGUGCUUCACAAUAGCACCAUGUUCUUCAUGAUUGAGAGUCUCUUGUUUUGUCAUCACCAUAUACUAGUGGGAAUCUUCAUUAUGUAACUUGGCUUGUAUAUUCGAAUGAUGGGCUUCCUCAAAAUUGCCCUAGGUCUUCGUGAGCAAGCAAGUUGGAUGCACACCCACUAGUUCUCCUUUUGAGCUUUCACACACUUAUAGCUCUAAGUGCAUCUGUUGCAUGGUAAUCCCUACUCAUUCACAUUGAUAUCUAUUGAUGGGCAUCUCGAUAGCCCUUUGAUACGCCGAGUUGAUGUGACCAUCUCCUCCUUUUUGCCUCACAACCUCCACCACACUCUAUUCCACCAAUAAGUGCUAUAUCCAUGGCUCACGCUCAUGUAUUGUGUGAGAGUUGAAAAGGUUUGAGAAAGUAAGAGUGCGAAAACAAUUACUUGGCCAAUACGGGGGUUGUGCAUGAUUUAAAUUCGUUGUGUGGGGAUGAUGGAGCAUAGCUAGACUAUAUGAUUUUGUAGGGAUAACUUUCUUUGGCCUUGUUAUUUUGAAAGUUCAUGAUUACCUUGCUAGUUUGCUUGAAGUAUUAUUGCUUUCAUGUCAAUAGCAAACUAUUGUUUUGAACCUUACGGAUCUGAACAUUCAUGUCACAUGAGAGAAGCUACAAAGGACAAAUAUGCUAGGUAGCAUUCCACAUCAAAAAUUCAGUCUUUAUCCCUUCCCUACUCAAGGACGAGCAGGAGUUAAGCUUGGGGAUGCUUGAUACAUCUCCAACGUAUCUAUAAUUUUUUAUGGUUCCAUGCUAUUACCUUGUCAAACUUUGGAUUUUUUGUAUGCAUUUUAUAUCUUUUUUGGGACUAACUUAUUAACUCAGUGUCAAGUGCCAGUUCAUGUUUUUUUCCGUCUUUUUGACCUUUUUCAGAGGAGAAUAUCAAACAGAGUCCAAACGGAAUAAAACCUCCGAAAAGAUUUUUUCCGGAACAGAAGAUACGGAGGGAGCUUGAGAACCAAGGCAAACACCAUCAGGGGAGGCCACAAGCCCCCUAGCCGCGGCCUGGGGGGGCGCGCCUAGCAGGCUUGUAGGCCCCCCGUGGCUCCUUUGCCCUACUUCUUCCGCCUAUAAAUCCCCGAAAAAUCUGAAACCAAGGGAGGGAGCCACGAAAAUACUUUUCUGCCGCCGCAAGCUUCUGUCUCCGCAAGAUCCCAUAUGGGGCACGGAGGGCUUCUUCAUCAACACCAUUGCCUCUCUGAUGAUGCGUGAGUAGUUCACCAUAGACCUUCGGGUCCAUAGCUAGUAGCUAGAUGGCUUUUUCUCUCUCUUGGAUCUUUUAUACAAAGUUCUCCAUGAUCUUCAUGGAGAUCUAUCCGAUGUAAUCCUCUUUUGUGGUGUGUUUGUCGAGAUCCGAUGAAUUGUGGAUUUAUGAUCAGAUUAUCUAUGAAUCUUAUUUGAGUUCCUUCUGAUCUCUUAUAUGCAUGAUUUCAUAUCCUUGUAAUUCUCUUCGAGUUGUGGGUUUCGUUUGGACAACUUGAUCUACAGUUCUUGCAAUGGGAGAAGUGCUUGGUUUUGGGUUCAUACCGUGUGGUGACCUCACCCCGUGACAGAAGGGGUAGCGAGGCAUGCAUCAUGUUGUUGCCAUUAAGGGUAAAAAUAUGGGGUUUAUAUCUAUUGCAUGAAUUUAUCCCUCUACAUUAUGUCAUCUUGCUUAAGGCGUUACUCUGUUUGUCAUGAACUCAAUACACUAGAUGCAUGCUGGAUAGCGGUUGAUGUGUGGAGUAAUAGUAGUAGAUGGAGAAAGUAUCGGUCUACUUGUCUCGGACGUGAUGCCUAUAUGUAUGAUCAUUGCCUUAGAUAUCGUCAUGACUUUGCACGGUUCUAUCAAUUGCUCGACAGUAAUUCGUUCACCCACCGUAAUAUUUGCUAUCUUGAGAGAAGCCUCUAGUGAACACUAUGGCCUCCGAGUCCACUCCACAUCAUAUUUUCAGCCUUACACUUUUACCUUGUUGCACUUUCCGCCUUCAGAGCUCGCCUUGGAGUUAACGUGAAGGGAUUGACAACCCCUUUGUAGCGUUGGGUGCAAGUUUGCUGUUUUUGCGCAGGUACUUUGGAGACUUGGCUUGAUACUCCUACUGGAUUGAUACCUUGGUUCUCAAACUGAGGGAAAUACUUACUGUUACUAUGCUGCAUCACCCUUUCCUCUUCAAGGGAAAAACCAACGCAAGCUCAAUAGGUAGCAAUGUUGUGUCUAAUAAAUAUAUAUUAACUAGCAUGGCCUCAGCUUAUAUAACACAACAGAGGCCUAAACUAACAAGAGUCUAGUUGGCUACGUCGAUGGAGAGGAGUCUUUGUCUUGAUCACCAUGUCUUGUGGAAUCUUCCUCGUAUAAGUUAUCCGCUGCCCAAAGUACACUAGGAGUCCAUCCUAUAGAGAUAGGUCGGCGGCUCAAGGACCCCUUAGUCGUUGACUUCCUGAGAGGGCCAACACUCAUUCAUGAUUACAAAAGCAGUUUACUGCCUAAAAUAGUAGUUCAACCCUUAGAAAGCAGAGAAAACAAGUAGAAUGAGACCUAAACAGGACCGAGGUCCCUCUCCUUCUCUAGUAGAACGACGACGGUGAUGCAGGGUGCCAUCGCCCGUAGCUCCCACUCCCGGUCGAUGGGAGCCAGCUCGUCGAAGAGGGCGUCCAAUGGCGGAAGUGGAUUCCGGUGACGAAGCCCGGAAAGGAUUCUACGGGCAACAACGACGACUGCCCGCACCCCCUCCUUGUCCAGCGACACCCGAACCUCCGUGCGGAGACGGUUCAGCUCGUCGAAGAUAUAGGUGAAGAAGGAGACCAAGUCCGGAAGUUGCAACUCAUUAAAGUCGAUGUGCUAGUCGAACGGGUUUAGCCCGAUGGAUGACAUGGUCAUGCUGGCAUGACGGUAGGCAUCGUGCAGCCGCAAUACUUGCAAUGCAACUGCUUCCAACAAGAGAUCCACGGCUCACUCUCUAGCCGACUCACUAUCGCGGCAAUCUCCUUGCUUUGCUCAUCCGCCGGAUUAUCAAAGAAACGACUUCGUGACAUCAAUCGACUUGGUAUUCGAAUCAAGCCGCUUUUGAAGAUCCGUCAUGUCCCUCUGAUGAUGGAGGAGCCCCACGUCCUUCUCCUGGAGCUUCACAUCCUUUGCUUGGAGCUCCUCCGUCAAGAGCCUCACCUCAGACAAGUUGAUCUUGUGCUCCCCCAUGGAAACUGAUAGAACAAAUGGGGAAAGCAAGCAGUGGGGGUCUCGGGCUGUGGAGGAUUGGGGUGGGGGUGGGGCACGAGUUUCCAAAGACCUAAGCAACGCAGCUGAUGGGGUUAUAGUCCCAGGAUAGGGUCAUAGGCCUGCCCUAUAGGUCCUACCCAAGGACUACCCUUCAUAGAGGAUGAGGUCCUUGGACAGUUCCGACUGAACUAAGGACUCCCCCAUCAUCCAGUCGGUGACGAGCACUCGGAGCAUAUUUAACGUACCGACUGGAUCCCACUCUGUACAUCGUAACCUCCCAGGAGGGCAACGGUCAUACGUUUUCAUACACCAUUAUUAACAUUUAAGGCUUACGUUACCUGUAACGUAGGCAUUUAUUCGCCACUAUUCCACCCCUGUCCACCGGGCCAUUAUGAAGGGCAGCGCACUCUAUAUAAGCCGCCCUUCCCCACUGGUGCGGGGGUUGGUUUUUUACUGUAAUCCUAUAUUCCACUCGACACUAAGCUCACAAGAGCACUGAGACGUAGGGCUUUUACCUCUACCGUAGAGGGGCGUGAACUCAUACAUCCUCGCCGUAGCUAAGGCUCUGCCCAUCCUUUCGUACCCUACACUUCUACUGUCAGACUUAUACCCAUGACAGUUGGCGCCCACCUUGGGGCAGGCGUCUAAGCGACUUUCGGCGAGUUUGCGAUUUCAUCUUUUCAUCAUGUCGUCCGGCGGAGAUCUGUGCAUGGGUCACGAGAUCCUCUUUGGUGCACUCUCCUUCAUCGUCGAUGAUUCGGCAUGGCUUCGGGAUGCGCCCCUCGACGUCGAGGCGCUCCCCAGUCGCGGGGCUACGCACUUCCGUGCCGGUUCCCGCGGCAUCCUUCUUCUCGAGCCAUCGGCCCUGGUGUCGAUCCUCGCCCCAGUCACGCGUCGCAACAAGCGAUCCCGUCGCCCCGGGCUCCAGCGUUGGGUGCGACACGCCCAGGCGCGACAGAGCGCGUCCUCUCAACAGGCGGUGCUCGAAUCGGUUGUGGUCGCGCCACCAUCCCAGUGCUUGGACUCAGUUCUGACUGAGCUACCUUCCGAGUACCUGGGUCGCGGGCCUGCAACCGAAGUUCUCAUGGACAAUUCCCAUGAAAGUCCCCUCCGGACUGGUCGGAACGAGCAUGAGGUCGGAGAAUCAUCCGGCGCUCGUCGUCAACACCGUCGUUCUGUCAGUCGACGCACUCGCCAGAGCGACGUCGAGGUGUUCCGCACACCCGUCCUCAACCUGGCUGCGGCUGCCAGGAUAGCCGAUUCUCUCCAGCCGACUGAUUCAGAGGCUGGCAGAGGGAUCGAGCAGAUCGGUGCCCUGUUGCAUACGGCGCAGCAGCAAAAUUCGGCGGUCUCCCAGUCGCCCAACAGGAUCCACAACAGUUGUGUUCACGCGAACACGCAUCGGUCGGUUUUCAGCCUGGACUCUCAUCAGCGACGCAGAGGGGGCAGCCGUUCCAGGGAUCCCGAAGAUCGUCGCCGUUCAUGCACCCCUCCGCGGGGUGGGCCCUAUGGACCUCGGCAUCACGAUGAUCAUCAUUCAGUCGGCGACGCGCAUGAUCCAAGGCCCGACGCAAGAGGGUACAUCGCCCAGAGGAAGGUCGACAAGAGUAGAGCCCACCGUGAUGGUCACGAUAGAGACCGUCCGAGUGGAAGCAAGACCGUCGUCUCGGGCCCCGAGUGCUUCAGUCGGGCCAUCCGUUCAUGGGAGAGUCCAAGCCAGAAACGUGGUUGGACGACUACAGAGUGGCGGUCCAGAUCGGUGGCGGAGAUGACCAGGUCGCCAUGAAACAUCUCCCCCUGAUGCUCGACGGCUCGGUGCGAGCUGGGCUGAACCAGUUGGCUCCGUCAAGCAUCUACAGCUGGGCAGAUCUGUCCCGAGUCUUCAUCGGGACCUUCGAGGGCACGUGCAAACGCCCUGCUGGUCUCGUGGAGCUCUAGCACUGCGUCCAAAAGAAGAACAAGCCCUUGCAUGAUUUCAUCCAGCGCUGGACCACCCUCUACCACACGGUGGAGAACGUCACGGAGCAUCAAGCAGUCUGCGCCUUCAAGGCAGGCGUGCGGUAUAAGGAUCUGUACUUGAAAUUCGGUCGGACAGGCGACAUCUCCAUGAGCAAGAUGAUGGAGAUAGCCGCACGCUAUGCAAAUGGCGAAGAGGAGGACCGCAUACGUAGCGGCAAGCAUAAGUCAGUCGCCGAUGGAGAUGGGAACAGCAGUCGGAAGCAGAAGCAGAAGGCUCAAUCCACUCCGCAGGGAGAGGCAGCAGCCGUUACAAAUGCCAAGUUCAAAGGCAAGGGGAAGGCUCAGUACACCCCCAAGAAUAGGCAGUCAGGAAAUUCCAUCCUCGAUCAGCCGUGUCCAAUCCACACGAAGGUGGACGAGGAAGGCAACGCCAUAUUCCCGAAGCAUACCACUCGGCAGUGUCGUCUCUUGAUCCAAGGAUUUGGUGAAGGGCAAUCGAGUGAAAAGGACACCGAGCAGGAUGAUGAGGACAAGGAGGAUCCGUUCCCCCAAGUCCAUGCAACGUUGAUGAUUUUUGCUGAUGUGGAAAGCAAAAGUCGACUGAAGCUGGUGAACAGGGAGGUGAACAUGGCAACCCCAGCCACCCCCACGUUCCUCAAAUGGUCACAGAUUGCGAUCACCUUUGAUCAGUCGGACCAUCCCGCACACGUGCCCACCCCAGGGAGGCAAGCUCUGGUCGUCGACCCGGUGGUGGAAGGAGUCCGACUGCGCAAGGUCCUCAUGGACUGUGGCAGCGGUUUGAACAUCAUGUACGCCGACACUCUCAAGGGAAUGGGCAUUCCGAUGUCCAAACUUAGCGAGUGCACUAUGCAGUUCCACGGAGUCGUCCCAGGACGAAAGUCCAAGUCACUCGGUCAGAUCGCGUUGGAUGUCGUCUUCGGCUCCGACAAGAACUUCCGUAAGGAGAAGCUGACAUUCGAGGUGGUAGACUUCCAGAGUGCAUACCACGCGAUUCUGGGCCGUCCAGCGUAUGAGCGUUUCAUGGCCUGUCCAUGUUACGCGUAUUUGAAGCUGAAGAUGCCAGGUCCCAAAGGUGUGAUCACGGUUAUAGGCAAUCAGCAGCGAGCCGAGGAGUGUUUGCAGCAGGGGUCGAGGAUUGCCGAUCAGCAGAUGGCUAUUCUCGAGCUGGAUGAGUACAAGAAGACCGCCGACCCUGCUGACCUGAUGCGUUCAAAGAAGCCAGCUUCCGAGUCCGCGUUUCAGUCGGCGGGCGACAUGAGGAAAGUCAGUAUCCACCCAACAGACGACACCGCCGCCCCGACGAACAUCUCCACCACCCUUGAUCCAAAAUAGGAAGCCGAGCUCAUCCAAUUCCUCCGUGAGAACUGGGACAUUUUCGCAUGGAAGCCCGCUGACAUGCCAGUUGUACCCACGGAGUUUGCUGAGCACCGACUACAUGUGGAUCCUGCUGCUCGGCCCGUCCGAGAACUCCUGCGUCGGUCCGCCGCGCACAAGAGGAAGGCAAUCGGAGAGGAGGUGGCUAAACUUUUGGCAGCCAACUUCAUUCGCGAGGUGCACCACUCCGAGUGGCUCGCUAAUGUGGUCAUGGUGCCCAAGAAGGACAAGUCUCUCCGUAUGUGCAUCGAUUUCAAGCAUCUCAAUAAGGUCUGUCCGAAAGAUCACUUCCCGCUCCCCCGCAUCGAUCAAAUUGUCGAUUCGACUGCGGGUUGUGAGUGUUUAUCAUUCCUUGAUGCCUAUUCGGGCUAUCAUCAGAUCCGUCUGUAUGGUCCGGAUGAAUUAAAAACAGCCUUCAUCACCCCAUUCGGGUGUUUCUGCUACAUCACUAUGCCAUUUGGUUUGAAGAAUGCAGGAGCAACUUUUAUGCGCAUGAUCCAAAAAUGCCUCCUUGACCAGAUCGGUCGAAAUGUGGAGGCAUAUAUGGACGAUAUCGUAGUCAAGUCGCGCAAAGGUUCCGACCUGCUGACUGACUUGGCAGAAACAUUCGCCAACCUACGUAGGUACGAUAUCAAGCUCAACCCAGCCAAGUGUUCAUUCGGUGUUCCAAGCGGGAAGUUACUCGGUUUCUUCAUUUCCGAACGAGGGAUCGAUGUCAACACCGAAAAGAUCGGGACCAUCGUCCGAAUGAAACGGCCGGUAAGAAUACAUGAUGUUCAAAGGCUCACAGGUUGCCUAGCGACUUUGAGCAGGUUUAUCGCUCGACUCGGCGAGAAGGCGUUACCUCUAUACCGACUCAUGAAGAAGUCACAUACCUUCGAGUGGACAGACGAAGCCCAAAUUGCAUUCGACGACCUCAAACCCCUGCUUUCCACCCAGCCGGUUCUUACUGCCCCUCUCAGUAAAGAACCCCUUCUUCUGUACAUCGCGGCUACAAAUCAAGUCGUCAGCACCGUUCUAACAGUCGAACGCGAAGAAGAAGGCAAAGUGUACAAGGUUCAGCGGCCAGUAUAUUAUGUCUCCGAAGUCCUAACUCCUUCCAAGCAGAGGUAUCCCCAUUAUCAGAAGCUUAUUUAUGGGAUCUACAUGACUGCAAAGAAGGUGGCUCAUUACUUCCAAGACCACUCGGUGUCUGUCAUAUCUGAUGCUCCGUUGUCGGAAAUUCUCCACAAUCGGGAUGCAUCGGGCCGAGUGGCAAAGUGGGCAAUGGAGAUGCUAUACUGCGAUAUCAAGUUCGAAGCCAAUAAAGCUAUAAAGUCUCAAGCCCUGGCUGACUUCAUAGCAGAAUGGGUAGAACAACAGCAACCGACUCACAUCUACUCGGCCCAUUGGACUAUGUUCCUCGAUGGGUCCAAGAUGUUGAAUGGCUCCGGCGCUGGCGUAGUGAUCAUAUCCCCAAAGGAUGAUAAACUCAAGUAUGUGUUGCAGAUACAUUUCGAUUCCUCCAACAACGAAGCAGAGUACGAAGCUCUCCUUUACGGGCUGCGCAUGGCCAUCACACUCGGCGUCCGUCGCCUGAUGAUCUAUGGCGACUCAGAUCUGGUGGUUAAUCAAGUAAUGAAGUAGUGGGAUGUAAGGAACCCCAUCAUGACUGCAUACUACAACGCAGUAAGGAAGCUCGAGAAGAAGUUUGAAGGUCUGGAACUUCACCAUGUUCCCCGACUGAAAAACCAAGCAGCAGAUGAAUUGGCAAAACUUGGAUCCACUCGGAGACCAGUCUCGAGUGAUGUCUGCGUCGAGCACCUACAUCUCCCCUCGGUGAAGGAAGAUCCCUUUACAGAGGAGACAGUACAACCAAAGAGCUCAACAGAUUCGACUGAAGUCGAGGUCCCCGCUGUGGUUGAUUUGAUCAUGGAGAUUCUUGCUGUCAUCCCCGAGUGGACUGUGUCGUUCAUUGCGUACAUCAUGAGGCAAGAGUUACCAGAAGACGAAGUCCAAGCUAGGCAGAUCCUCCGCAGGUCGAAGCCCUUCACCGUCAUUGAUGGCCAGUUGUAGAGGGAAAGUGUUUCGGGCGUCCUUCAGCGGUGUAUCUCCCCUGAGGAGGGACAGUUAAUCUUGGAAGAAAUUCACCCGGGCUCCUGCGGUCACCAUGCCUCCUCAAGAGCAAUCGUCGCCAAAGCAUUCAGAGCUGGUUUCUUCUGGUUACAGGCGAAUGAAAUGGCAAAAUAUAUGGUCGACCGAUGCGAAGGCUGUCAAUUCUAUUUGAACAAGUCCCACAAGCCAACGUCUGCGCUGAAGACAAUUCCUCUUGUUUGGCCAUUCGCCGUGUGGGGAUUAGACACAGUCGGACCAUUCAGAACAGGCCAAGGAGGAUUCACUCAUCUGCUAGUAGCAGUCGACAAGUUUACCAAAUGGAUCGAAGCCAAGCCCAUCAAGAAGCUCGACGCCCUUACGGCCAUCAAGUUUACCAGAGACAUCAUCGCCAGAUUCGGGGUUCCGCAUAGCAUAAUCACCGACAAUGGCACGAACUUUGACUCGGACAGAUUCAAAGGUUUUUGCAAAGGCCAAGGUAUCCGAGUGGAUUUUGCAUCCGUGGCGCACCCCCAAACAAACGGGCAAGCAGAGCGGGGGAAUGGACUUAUUCUUCAAGGGUUGAAGCCUCGACUCCUGCGAGAAGUUGGACAUGCCGCCGGCGCGUGGGUCACCGAGCUGCCUUCGGUGUUGUGGGGUCUCCGCACAACUCCGAAUAGAUCUACAGGGCGAUCCCCGUACUUCCUCGUUUAUGGAGCAGAGGUAGUCCUUCCGAGUGAGUUGCUUCACAACUCUCCACGAGUCGAACUCUUCUCCGAAGCCGAAGCAGAGCAAGCCAGGCAAGACGGAGUGGAUCUUCUAGAAGAAGAGCGCGAGAUGGCACUGACUCGCUCAACAAUUUAUCAACAAGAUCUGCGGCGAUUUCACGCGCGGCACGUCAGGAGUCGCACAUUCCAAGCAGGCGACCUGGUACUCCGAGUGGAUCAGCACAGACCACACAAGUUGGCUCCCGCCUGGGAAGGACCCUUCAUCGUCUCUAAGGUGCUGAACAACGGAGCAUAUCGACUCUACAACCUCGACAGGGAAAUGGACGAGCCACGAGCAUGGAAUGGAGAUCUCCUGAAGCGCUUCUACACAUAACCGCCGACGGGGGCAAUGUAAAGAGCAAGUAUCAUUGAAGUAAUACAAAGCAGAUUGAUUUCUUGCCGAUUCAAAAUUCUUUCGCGUUUGCAGACUCCGGCCGAAAAAACUCGCUCUGAGCGCGCACUAAAAGUCGCACUCGGGCACUUAGCUGCGACCCAGAAUCGCCUAAGUACAAACUCGCUCCGAGUGUGCACUAAAUGUCGCACUCGGGGACUUAGCUGCGACCCAGAAUCACCUAAGUACAAACUCGCUCCGAGUGUGCACUAAAAGCCGCACUCGGGGACUUAGCUGCGACCCAGAAUCGCCGAAGUACAAACUCGCUUUGAGUGUGCACUAAAAGUCGCACUCGGGGACUUAGCUGCGACCUAGAGUCGCCUAAGUACAAACUCGCUUCGAGUGCACGCUAAAAGACAUGCUCGAAGACUUAGCUGCGAUCCAGAGUCGCCUAAGUAAAAAAGCUUCCUCCAAGUGUAUACUCGAGAUCCACUCGAAGGCUUAGCAGAUCCUCAUUGAGGCUCAUGUGGAUGUGAAGUCAACUCACAACUACAUGAGUAACAACUCACUUUGAGUGUGCACGAAAAGUCACACUCGGGGACUUAGCUGCGACUCAGAGUCGCCUAAGUAAAAAAGCUUCCUCAUGUUUGCCAUUGGCUUCACCAAGAAACGCCAAACAAAAACCACGAGCCAAAAUCGUGUCAAAAAAAAUUGGCGAAAGAAGAGCAAAAUAUUCGAUUCGAAUUCAAAGUUGGAUCUACGAUCAGUCGGCUCGGUGUGAAUCAAGCUUAUCCACACCGAACCACGAAUGUGACGGCCAACAACAGUGGCCAAAGUUUGAUACAGAUACCACUCGGCAUACCGAGGUAAAUGUGCGUUCACCAUCAAGUUUUUUUCAAGCGUCACCGGGACUGGAAGGCUCCACAAAGGUGUCAAGGUCGAUUCCGUCUGCAAUGUGAGUAGCUAUGUCCAGGAAGGUCUCCAUGAAAUCUUCGAAUCGAAGCUUCUUGGUGUUGGCAACCUGCAACGUCUUCAGCUUUUCUUCGCGAGCUUCCUUGCAGUGCAUUCGGACCAGAGAUAGCGCCACGUCCGCACCACAAUGAGCGACAGACUUCUUCCAUGCCUGCACUCUGCUCGGGAUGUCCUCCAGCCGAGUCAUCAACCCAUCUAUUUCUUGCUGAGAAUCGUCUUCAGGCCACAGCUCCUUGUCGAUCCGGCUGAUGACUUCUCUCAGGUGGCCAAUGAAAGGUCCCACCCUGCUAAGGCGAAUAUGCGCUCGGAGCAAGUCCCGGUUGGCUUCGUCGCCAAGUGGAACGUUCGGAACAACCGACCGUUCAAUAUCGGCUGCUUUAGCCUCAACGUCCCGACAGAAGUCUGCAAAGAAAAGACAAGCAGAAAGUAAGCGCAGAGUGGACUCCAAAGUCAAGAAGUGCUCGGCAAAAACUUACCACCAAGCAGUGCAACCAUCUUCCUUGCCCAGUCGCUAACGUACUUCUCCUGCGCCAUGCACCGAGUGUUCAUCAACUUCAGCUGGCCCAUCCAUUUGGAUCUUUGACUCUUCAAUUUUUCAACUUCGGCUAGCAAUGCCUUGUUGGUCUCCCGAGACUCCUCCAAAGACUUCUCUCGGUCAGCAAGAGCCCCCUUCACACCAGCCAGGUCAUUCACAGCCACCUCCAAGUCCGUAGCAAGCUGAAUCUUCUCAGCCUUCAGAGCAUUGUACGCAGAUCCCAUUUCGCAAGUCUUCUGCCAAAUAAGCACAAAGGGAAGAUCAGACACAUUCAACAAGGAAAACAAUCAAAGCUCAAAGUUCUUCAGACCCCUGCCGAUGCAAGCAAUUGGCAGCGGUCUCGGGGACUACACCCAGUGGGUUCACUAAGAGUGACCCCACUGGCAUGAAGCUCGAACAGGUCGGCCCUAUUGAGCUACAUGACAAACAGACAAAUCUAUGAGACUACUAUUACCCGACCUGAGUAACACUACUCUCGGGGACUACACCCAGUGGGUGCACUCGGAGUGCCCCCACUGGUACCAUUUGGGCAGAUCAGCUCUGAUCUGUUCAGGUCACGGAAAAUACAUAUAAAGACAACUGACGGUGCAAGCACUCGACAGAAGUCUCGGGGACUACACCCACUGGGUUCACUCGGAGUGAACCCACUGCAAAAUCAUCCUACUGUAUCCGAGUAUAUCACUGAAACCCCUAGUGGGUGACAAGAGGAAAGUAAACACUUACUAGCGCACUUACUCGGAUAUCGUCCCGGAGCUCCAAGCUUUUCUUGUACAAAGACGCGAUGGAGUCGUACGCUCCCUUGGCAUCACCCACCAUCAGCUCCACCUGCACCAUGGCGUCCUUGGCGGCCCCCACCUAGUCUUCCGGGAGAUGCCGGGCGUCAUAUUGAACGGUUGACGGACCCGGCGCGACAGAAGACUCCCUGGGCAUCCCGAGCUCAACUCCAGUCGGUCCCGCCGUGAGGGGCACCGUCUGAGUCGGCAGCACCGUCUCGGUCGGCGGCACGUUCAUGGUGGGAGCAGUAGUAGAUGGGACAACCUCAAGGACAGGCGCCAAAGUUGGCUCCGACCCCCUUUGAUCGUCGUCCUCCAGAUGGAUCACCUCUGAAGGAAGCUCGACUGAACAAAAUGAAAUUACAGAAAAAGGUCAAGAUCAAAGACAGCACUCGCGAAUCAAUAAUACAAACUCUCGGAGUCGUGACAACGUACCUUGCUGGGACGUGGCAGCGUUAUCCGUGUCCAUGGGGUCAUCGUCCUGGCGCGGCAGAGAGGUGGCAGAGGUAGCAGCUCUGUUGAGUGAAAUCCACUCGACAGGUAAGCAUGAGUUCAAUCAGAUACUGAAGGAAGAUAGAAGAACAAGACACUUACGCUGAGGCGACUAGAACAACGAUCCUCAUCCGAGGCAAAGCUUUCCGAGGCUUAGGCCCACUGGGUUUGGCCACCUUAGAUGGCUGGUCCGUGGGCUCGGCAGCCGCGUCCCUGGUCCUCUUCACACUCCGAGCACUGGGAGCCACGGGAGGGACUGGCGGAGCACUCGGGGCCGCUCGAGGAGCCGGCGGAGCAGCAGGAUCGUGACGGCGCUUAGUUCGGUGCUCUGGUGGUGGAGGUGGCGAGCUCUGCUCCCCUUCCUCCUCCUCCUCCUCCUCUUCCGACUCCUCCUCUGUUUCCCCACUGUCGGAGACGUACUCGGCGCUAUCCACGCUGCCCUCCUGGUUGCCCUCCUCUUCCUCGGUUGGAUUCCCGUUCGAGACAGCAGAAUACCAGUUAGUCCACUCCUGCACAAAACAGAGUCGGCAACGUCAUUCAGCAGGACAAGAAAAGUAAUAAAUCUAAGAAGGUUAAAAUCACUCGACAAGAUGCGCUUACCUCAUUCGGAGGAGGAUUGUCGGAGCGGAAGGGCUUCACCCGACGGGCUCCUUCGGGGUUAUCACACGCGUGUGUGAUGCCGCGGACCCACGCCCUCACAGUCUCCCCGGUCACGCACUCUGGAUGAGACCGAGUGGAGUCCGAAGGCCCCGCGUAGUGCCACAUGGCGUGGUGUCGGGCCUGCAGCGGCUGGAUGCGCCGACCCAGAAAAGUCUCCAGCAGGUCCGUGUCGGUGACUCCCUUGCGGACGACGGCUAUCAGCGCGUCGACCAAAGGCUGGAUAUGGAUCCUUUCCCCCUUAGAGAGCGCAAGCUUCCUGGGAGGGCCCGGACGGUCUAGGCUAAAAGGUGGCAACCCGCUCGACGCAUUCGGACAAGCAAUGUCCUAGCAAUAGAACCAGGUCAACUGCCAGUUCCUAACUGACUCGCACAACUGGAGGGGGGGGUAGCUACUCUUUGUUUUCUUCUGGAAACCUAAACCCCCGCAGAGCUGGAGGAUAUGGGUCUUAUCGUCCGACUGGCUAAGCUUUUUGACGGUUUGGGAUCUAGCAGAGAAGACAUACUUAAAGAGCCCCCCAGUGAGGGGGACAUCCAAUAAAGCACUCGCAAAGGGUGACGAAUGCAGCAAGGUGGGCUAUUGCGUUUGGAGGAAAAUGAUGGAGUUGCGCCCCGAAGUAGGUCAUGAUACCUCGGAAGAAGGGGUGGGGAGGCAAGGAGAAGCCCCUGAACACAUGGAUGAGCAGCAGAACGCGCUCCCCCUCCUUCGGCGCCGGCUCCGUCUCGCCUUCCGGCAGCCGCCAGGACUUGUUGACGAUCAUGCCAUGCUCCACCAACUCCAGCAAGUCGUCCUCCGUCACCGAGGAGGGGAGGAAAUCCCGCUGGAUCCAACCCGCCGGCAGCGCCUGCUGCCGCCACUGGGUAGGAGCCGCCCCCUUCUUCUUCUUCUUCUUNNNNNUCUUCUUCUUCUUCUUCUGCGUCUCAAGUUUGCUGGUCUGCCCCUUCGUCAUGGCGAAGGCGACGGAUCCGCAGAGGAGGAGGGGAAGGAGGAAGCUCGGGGCGUGCAGAGAGCUGCGGGAGGAGCGGGAUUAAUGCGAGGAAGAUGAGCAGCGCAGCAGAGAAUCCCGCCGGAGAGGCUUAAAUAAGCUUCCGACUAGGUCACUAACAGGUGGACCCGAAAUCUUAUCUCCCCAACCGGCUGCUGCGAUGUUAGUGGAGAAGAUAAAGGCGCGGUAAUCGAGGCGGCGAAACCUACUCGAUGGCAAUGUCGUCAUCCCCGCUGAGCGUGCGGCAACCGAAAUUUAAGGAUCCCGGAAAAUCCGGCGCUGUCAGUUUGACCAGUCACGUCGAAAGAUUCCGCGGAAGCACUCGGUCUCUGACGGUUCGUUUCACCGAUACCUUCACUCGGAUCACUGGUUGAAAGGACAAAAUGGAUCGAGGCAAACAACGCCAAAGUCACCUCCAUACCAGUCGGAUCCAUACUCCGGACAUCAUUUCAUCGUUCCAACCCCAAUCCAUUCGGGGACUAAUGAUGGGGUUAUAGUCCUAGGAUAGGGUCAUAGGUCUGCCCUAUAGGUCCUAGCCAAGGACUACCCUUCAUAGAGGACGAGGUCCUUGGACAGUUCCGACUGAACUAAGGACUCCCCCAUCAUCCAGUCGGUGACGAGCACUCGGAGCAUAUUUAACGUACCGACUGGAUCCCACUCUGUACAUCGUAACCUCCCAGGAGGGCAACGGUCAUACGUUUUCAUACACCAUUAUUAACAUUUAAGGCUUACGUUACCUGUAACGUAGGCAUUUAUUCGCCACUAUUCCACCCCUGUCCACCGGGCCAUUAUGAAGGGCAGCGCACUCUAUAUAAGCCGCCCUUCUCCACUGGUGCGGGGGUUGGUUUUUUACUGUAAUCCUAUAUUCCACUCGACACUAAGCUCCCAAGAGAACUGAGAUGUAGGGCUUUUACCUCCAUCGUAGAGGGGCCUGAAGUCAUACAUCCUCGCGUAGCUAAGGCUCUGCUCAUCCUUUCGUACCCUACACUUCUACUGUCAGACUUAUACCCACGACAGCAACGAUUUUCUUCGUCUCUUCGAUGCUGUCAUGACGGAUUCGUCUCCCGCAUCAAUCAUGCCAACUAAAUAACCACCGUUAAGUUUCUCUGGUUGUAGUCAAACUUAGCCGCCUAUAACGACAAAGAACAAGACGUCAUGCACUUUGAAUACGCCUUUCGAUCAGGUGUAGCCCCUUGGGUUGUAUAAACACCUAACCAAUACUCGUAGCACACCUAAACACACCAUCGUAACCGGUGUUUCUGCGAACAUAUUAAUAUGCUACACAGGGUGUCAUUGGUUGCUAGUCAUCGGGGUCAGUCAAAGGAGCAUUCAGGCCCGGCAUGUCUACGUGUACCAUACGUGUCUAUCUGCAAGUCACGAAUGGGAGAGUCACACAACAAAGUAAGUUUUUUGGAGGGUCUAUGGGCGAAAGAAGAUGCUCUAAGAGCAUCUCCAACAGCCGCACAACCGACGAGCGUGCUAAAAACAGUUUGCAGCAUCGAAAUAGCGAUUUUUAACAUGCCGGAGAGCGCUCGCUCUAGCGGCCGCCGUAAAAAAUUGCGCGCGCGAGCCGCUCCACCACGCGCUGCAAAAAAAACGGCACGCGCACCCAAUACAAAUAACAUAUGACACUUCAAAAAAAACCAAAAAAUCAAACACAUAAAAAAUAAUCAACAAUAAAUAGUUCAAUUAUUGACAAAUAGUUUAUCUUCGAAUCCAAUAAUAGUUCGACACUACAACAUCAAACAUACAAAUCAUCAUUCGUUUUGUCGGCCAUUCCAUGUCCCCCACUCCUCGAUUAGAUCCUUCUCACGAUUAUUAUGCGUUUGGGGACGUCGAAUGGCAUGAUAGGAGGCAACAAAUCGGGCCACCCGAGGAACACUCCCACGCACUCACACAGGAUGUCCCAAGAGCUCAUACUAUGAAUAGUCUAAAUUUUAUCCACGCUCAUUCUCGAUGAUGAGGUUAUGCAUGAUCACACAAGCGUGCGUAACAAAGGAUCUUUUGAUCCCAAAAUCUAGCCGGUCCUCUCUUGCAAAAUCCCAAAAGCUCUAUCCACAUCAUUCCGACCCGCCGCCUGAGCAUUGUGACAAUCUAGAUUUUUCUUACCUUCAUGUUUUUUCAACGGCUUCACAAAUGUUUGGCACUUUGGGUAGAUGUCAUCCACAAGAUAGUACCAUAGUUGUAUGUAUGGCCAUUUGCUACAAACUCCACCGGUGACAGUUCACCAUUUGCAUUCUUAUUUAUGAGUGGUGGCCGAUUAACAACAUUGAUGUCAUUCAAAGAUCCAUGCAUUCCCAAAAAGCAUGCCAAAUUGAAUUCUCUUGAUCGGCCACCGUUUCAAGGAUUAUAGUGGAACCCUUUUUCUGGUUAUGGAAUUGCCCAUGUCAUGCCUUAGGACAGUUCGUCCAACUCCAAUGCAUGCAAUCUAUUGAGCCAAACAUACCUGGAAACCCGCGAGCUUUGUUCAUCUCCAAUAGCCUUACGGCGUCUUCAAGAUUGGGAGAUCUCAAAUACUCUAGGCCAAACACUUGUACAAUUCCGACUGCGGAGCGCUUGACACAUAUGGUGGCCUGACUCUCACCCAUGGCCAAAUGGACAUCAACUAGAUCAGCCGGAAUACCGUAUGCCAACAUACGCAAAGCGAUUGCCACCUUUUGAAAGGUGUUAUGCCCGAGUUCUUCGGCGGCAUUCCUCCUUUGUUGAAAAAACCGAUCAUGGCUAGCCAGUUUCUCUGCAAUGCGUCUGCACAUCUCGAUGCUCAUCCUAAACCGACGCCUGAAGUACGACUCGGGGUAUGUGGGAUUCUCCACAAAAUAGUGCCUCAUCAAUCCGUUGUGGGCAUCAAUUUUAUCCCUCCAAAUUUUCUGCCGACCCAUAAAGGAACCACCGUCCUUCGUCUUUUUAUUGAUGUGCGUAGCUAGGAUCAUUGCAAGGUCCUCCUCCACUUCAAUAUCAAAUUCUUCUUCAGAAGAAUUAUAUGACGAACUCAUCUACAAUACUGAAUUUAAACUAGUCUAAAAAAAUGCAAAAAACAUGCAUCAAAUUCAUGUAAAAAGGGUGAAGUUGAAGCAAUACAUACCUUGCAAGCGUUUUUUCGAACACCUUGUGAGCGCCGAGCGGCAGUGGGCAGCCAAACGCUGUUCAUCGAAGGAAUGGCGCGCGCGAGGGGUGGUGGCGGGUAGAGGGAGACGGAGAAAGCAUCGGCAACACGGAAUAAACCGGAAAAGCACCGUCAAGUCGGUGAAGCAAAUGGCAUGGCGCAAGCGGUGGCACCAACACCUGGGUCUAGUGCUGGGUGAAAGUCGCGUGCGAAUCGUCACUGUCCAACGCGCGGGAGGCGCUUAAAAUAAGCGGCAUGCGAUGUCAUGUUUUUUUUCCCUCUGCUGAAACGCACGAAGCGGCUGCGGGAGGGCAAAAGAGGAGCGCAAAAGAGCAUCUUUUUUCAGCACAGCGGUAGCUCCGGACGCGCAAAAGAGUGUCUGUUUUAAGCGGGGCGCUGUUGGAGAGGGUCAUUUAGUAAAAAUAAUACAAGCCUCCAAGGCUGAAGUACGAACAGUGGCGGUACCCAGCUGAUCAGGUCACCGCGCUCCAUAUGCAUGUAAAGUUACAGGUUACAGUUAUGUACUGUAGUUGAAACAGCGAAUGGUAUCAUACAUAUUACUCCCUAUGUAAUAAUAGCUACAGAGGGAGUAGAAGGGAUUGAGCAUAAAUUAAGGGCUUGUUCGGAGGCUCUCCACUCCACAACUCCGCUUCCAGAGCGGGCGGAGCUGCAGUUGCAAGUAACGGAGCAGCGAAAUUGACGCUCCGCAGAUUCUCGUAUUUUUGAGAGCUGGUGGAUUUCCGAACAUGCACUAAAAUACAUGUUGCUCUGAUCUGCUAAUGUCCAAGAACACGGUUAGGCAUAAGAAAAAGAAAAGGAAAACUACUCAUGGAAUGCCUAUUGGUCUAAAGGAUACACGUGAUGCCUGCAUAGCUGAUACAAGACUUGUGCUUAAUCAUCUGGAGUUCAGAUGAUCCUUCCUGCACCACCUCCACGCCGGUAAUCACAGCAGCUUGGUCACUCGAUUUGCCCUGGUCCUGGUCCUGGUCCUGGUCCUGCUCCCCAACGUCGAAAACCUUGUUGACGCAGAACCUGCCGGCUCCCAGGUAGAGCAGGCAGCCCCUCACUUGCACCCAGCCCUCGGGCGGGUCCAGGACUUGCCACUCGCGUAGCAUCUUGGGAACAGCCCCGUGAAGGUCCGAUGCGCACAAGUUGUUGUCAGCCAUGCCGAACCAGAGGUUUCCAAGCUCAGGAACAUACUCUGCCCGGCCGUAGAAGGGCAGCGGCCAGCGGGCAGCCUUUCUCCACUCGCGGGUAGCCGUGUCAAAGCAGUAGGUGCCGAUGGGGGGGCUGGAUGAUAUGCAGAUGCUGGAGCCACCAUUAAGCAGCGUGUAGGACUGGAUGGAACUGCAGUCGUAUGCUGGGUCAUUGACGUAUGGCGGCAGGUAUUAAUGUUUUAAAUAGCGGGCGGCAAAUAGCGGCGAGCCUCUAAAUCAACUAUAACGGAGUUAUAAUGGACUAUAGCAGCAUAUUUGUACAUAAUAUCAUUUAACGGCACCCUGCUGAAAAGGCUAUAGCGGGCUAUUUAAAACUAUUAUUCUUGCCGUAGACAAGGGCUUCGAAAAUGCAGGGGUUGCGGCCCGCGGGGAACCUGUCCAACACGUACAGAGCUGAAGCGCCCUUGGGGUCGGGGGUGCACAAGGAGACGGGGCUAUCUCCCUUUGGUUCGUUGAGGCAGGGAACAUGCUGGAUGGAGCCUGCGUAGCUAUCGCAGAGGAUGGUGUGGCCUGCCGAGUCAACGGAGAGGAUCACACUAUCGCCGCCGCUGCCUCGUCCGUACAAGGGCAAGAAAUCGAGCCUCAUGCCGUCUAGGCGGUAUGCUUCAAGUCUGAGCUUGGGCGCAGGCAUCCUCGAGAUGGUCUGCAUCUUCUUCUUUUUGGGUACCGCCGCCGCGGCUUGUGCUUCCUCUAUAGAUGGGUAGAAGAGUUUCUCCUUGGCCUUGAUGCGACUCACUGAGUAAGUGCUGCCACUGCGCAUCACCACAUUCACAAACUGCCGCGCCUUCAUUUACCUGCCCCCUCACAAAAUAAGAAGAACCCGCAAUCGGAUUAGAUUCUUCUCUCUCAAAUUAUGAGAGACAAGUAAGAUCUCUAUCUAGAGACGAAACGAAAGGAAAAAAAUGGAAGGAACGGGAAGGAGAAAUUUUGGGAGCAAUACCUGCAGCAGGAGUCGACGAAUGGAAGCUAGCACGGUUAGUGCGGCGGCGGCGGAGAGAUCGGGAUGGAUUGUGGGAUCUAUAGGUUAGCCAUCUUUUCCCCCGUUCUGCUCAUCUUAUAUGCUGCGGUGGAUAGAUGGAUGGGCCCACUGGGCUACAUUACAUUAUUAUCACGGAUCAACCCACACAGCAUUUUUCCCACAAGACGCGAAAUCGCCGGUUAAGAGCAUACCCAUAUUUUAGAUAGUCAAAAUCAUUAUGGAUAGAGAAGAGAGAAGGUUUGGGUAUUCAAAAAAAAUUCUGUUUUUCAAUCUUACCCAUAUUUGGAUACCCAAAAACUGGUUUCAUUGUUUUGAUCAUUUCCUUCUCUCUACUUCUCUUCAACAUUUAUCAUACACCAACACAAUAUAAUACGAAUUUAAUAGAAAUCAUACACAAGAUAAUUCAAACAAUUACACACUCAUUCAAAUCCAUCAUAGAUGUUCAUCACUAUCCAUAAAACCGGUAGCAAAAUGCAUCACCAAUCACAAAGUGCAUUAUCAACAUAAGAUAAAAGUUCAUCGGUGCAUAGAACAACACCACGAAUAGAUAGUUAUCGAUGCAUCAUCAACACAAAAUAAGAGUUCGUCGGUGCCUAGAACAACACCACAACUCUCAUACGGCAUCAUUGCCACCACCAUAGCCGCCGCCACCUCCACCAUUGACGCCACCACGUCCACCACCACCAUAGCCGCCACCACCUCCACCACCAUAGCCGCCACCACCUCCACCACCAUACCCUCUUGACAUCAAGAUUUGGUCACGACAAAGCUCGUAGUAAGCACGACCCUUCUCAUCUAAACCACUUGCAUCCAUGAACAUGAUCUUUUGUUCUUGUUCAAUCAUCUUGAGCAUCUCCUCAUUGGACACCUUCCUCUCAUCGGUUUCUGCAAGCUUCUCCUCGGCUGCCGCCCUCCUCUCCUCGGUCGCCGCCCUCCUCUCCUUGGCGGCCACCUUCCUAUCCUCGGCUUGCCUCCUCUCUUCAAUCUCCUUGUUCUUUGCCUCCCUUCUCACCGCCAUCAUGUUCUCCAAGGACUCCUUGUACAAGUUCUCACCGCCACGGCCUUCUUGGCCGCCUUCUUCUUCGCCGCUAGCGCCGGGUCCCAAGGAGGCCGCUUUGUCGUGCCCUUCUUCUUCGACGGGGCGGCGGUCGGAGCAGGCUCGGCGGCGCUCUCCAGCGCGCCAGGAGAAGCGGGGGUCGCGGCGGCUUUGCCAACCCUAGGCACCGGGCGACCUUCGGCUUGGACGUCGUGGCCGCGGGGGCAGCAGGCAAGGCGGCGGGAGGGGCGUGAGGGGGUGCGGGAGGGGCGACGGAGGUGGCGGGGUCGACGGCCCCCUCAUCCAUGACGCGGCGGCGGCCGCGCGCGACGGCAGCGCGCGGUGGCGGGGUCGGGCGGGGAGGCGAGGCGACGAGGGAAACUUCCGCGGGCAAGCGGUUUCCAGUUCCCGCGCGAGAUUUGGGUCGGAUGGGUAUUUGCCCCACAAUACCCAUAUAUGCCAAUUCUGGGCUAGAUUUUGGGUAGUGACCUAAUUUUUUUUGGUGGGGACCAUUUAUGGGUAUGCUCUUGGAGCUAGUUUUUUGCCCCGAAUACCCAAAAAAGCAGUUUUUGGGUAUUGAGAGCAAAUAUGGGUAUGCUCUUGGAGAUGCUCUAAGGAGUACACCUCGCAACGGUUAGGCGGGGUGUAUCCUCCGCGCGACAAGUGUCGCGUUCUGAGCACGUUGGAGACCUUUCAACAGCGCUCCGCGCGUGACACUUGUCGCACAGGGAAGAGUCCUGUUAUUUCCGGUUUUUGUUUUCUCUUUUUCGGUUUCCCCUUUUAGCAAUUAAGCCCCUGAACAAUUUAGGUUUUCUAACAAUCCUCCGAUCUAUUUGUUCAGAUUUGCUUUGUCCCGUCUCGCGGCCGUCGUUCGCUGCCGCCAUUCGUUCCGUUGUGGUCGUCCUGCCGGCGUCCGUCCCGCUGUGGCCGUGUUGCGGCCAUGCGUCUCGCUGUGGUUGUCCUGCCGCCGUCCGUCCCGGUGUCGUCGACCUUCCGUCGUGGUCGCGUCGUCAUCGCAUCGGUUUGAUUGUCCCUGGUAAAUCGUCAUAUUGUUUCCUGUUUUCCUGUUUUCGUUUUUUCCAUUAUAUUUCCGGAAAAUUGAGAUUUCAGGGGAAAUUACGGGUGGGGGCUUCCAACACGAUCAAAUGUCAAUUUCAAUUCUGAUGUGGAAUGAGUUCUUAUUGAUCACCGUUCUUUUGUAGGUAAUGGCUUGCCCCUUUUGCCGAGCUGCAGGUGGCCCUUGUUCUUCCUUUGAUUCUUGUGUGUCUGUGUUCACUGUGGUGUUGGAUCGUAACUGUUCAAGGCGUGUUGUAAGAAUCUAUUUCUUGUUUAUCUGAUUGUGGCAUAUUGUUGAUGUUGUUUUGGUUGGAAUGUAUUCCAAUGCCUUUGUUUAUAUGAUUGUGAUGUUUGCUUCCAUUCUUGUUGUAGUAUGUUCCAUGUAGUGUUAGAUCACAUCUUGCUCGGUACAUUGAGGAGUGCAGAGCUUUAGCUAUUCGGAGGGGUGACACAGAUGUUGAUCUUGCUCUUCACAACAGCGAGGGUAACUUAUACCAUGUUCUGUUUAGACAUGGUCGGAUAAGGAGUAAAUUCCAUGGUUCUUCGUGGGAAGAACUUGUGAAUGAUUAUGGUCUCCGUCAUGAUGACAUCAUGACUGUUAGGCUUGAGCGCUAUGGAACUAUGAUUGGUGUCGAUUUUCAUCGGGAUGGUGUUAUGUUGUUCUCUUUACCCUGUGUUGGUAAGUUAUUUGUUGGACUGUUUUUUAGUUUUCUUUCAGUUUAUACGUUUUGCUGUUUUGCUCAGUUUGUGAAAUUGUUUUUUUGUAGCUCUUGAGGAUCUGAUGAAACUCGGAGGGAACUUGUUGACAGUUGUUUCAUAUAGUCGUGGUGUCGCUCUGAAUUAUCGUCAAAUGUAUGUCAUGUCGCGACAGCUCUUUGAUGACAACUACAUAUUAUGUUCUUCCUUUGUUUACAGGAUUACGUCCAUGAAUGUUAAUGAUCAACAUAUGGUGAGCUUGUUUUUGGUUAAUGUUUAUUUAUUUUUUAUUUAUGUAUGUUGAGCUUUGGAGUUUAUUUUUUAAAAUUUGCAAGCUGAACAUCAUAUAACUUGAUGUUUUUUGUCAGGUUAUUCUGAGCUUGGUUGUGAGUAGUUUGAAGCAUGCCUUGAAGUAUACGCCAAGUCUUCAAAGAGCUCCAUCUUGAUCACGCCAAGGACAUAUGGGCCCCAUCAUUUAGUUUACUUAUGGGUCCUCGACCCAACCCAUGAACAACGGGCCGAUGUGGUGUGCACCCCUCAAUCCAGUAAACCGUCAACAACCUUCUCCUACCUCGAGAAAAAUCAUUCCAAAUUCUUAGCUCGAGUUCUUCCUCUCACACACAAACUUUUGAUCUCUUUGUUCGAAGCUCCGUUUUUUAAACUGUUCGGAGGAGUUGCUCCUUGGUAUGUGCCUCCUCCUUUUGUUAAAUUAGUUUUUGUUCUAGUUGUUUAUAUUUUGCUAAUUUUUCUAUUGUUGGUGACCAUGAAAAUGAGCUUGAAUAUUGAAUUCACUUGGUUCGAAGUUGUUUUGAUGCAUGAUAUAACCUCUAGGCACUUGUGAGAGUUUUUGCUAUCAGUUUCGUUGAAUUUUGAUUACCUCUUAUUUGCGGCCUAAUUUUUUCCAAAGAUGUUUCAGAGGAAAGGAAAUGUUUAGAAGGAUGUCCCCGCGAAGCACUUCCAACCAUGGCAAGGCAUGACCUGCAUAUCAUGAGCCCCGGGAAAGUUUUGCGCGAUGUGCCAACGUGAAAUCAUGUCAGUGGCCUUGUGACACCUUCACGAGAGGCACCGAUAUCAAGCAAGCAUUUGACCAAUAUAUUGAAAAUGCCAGGUUGACCGCCUUCAUUUCAGGUAAGUGUACCCAGUACUAUCAUCUUAUCGAAUCUUUUGUGCAUCAUUUUCGAUACGUAUCUAGUCCCACUGCACCUAAAGUUCUCUUCCAUCUUCAUAAGAAAUCAUAUGGUUUGCCCCUACAAGAAUUUUGUUAUAUUUGCAAAAUUUCGUAUCGAGGUUCACUUGACGAGCCGUGGAAGGUUGAUUAUGACGGAUUUAUUAGUAGUAUUUGUAAUGGGGAAGAUAGAGGUGUAACACAUGCCAGACUUAGAGCAACUCUAGCAGACCCCGCAAAAUCUCGACCCGCAAAACGCGUUUGCAGUUUCACGAAGAUCUCGUUUGCGGGUCGAAAAAAUCAGCGCGGCAGAACAGAAACCGUAGAUGAAACUGCAUAUUUUGAAAAAUAUAUUUCGCGGGCAGUUCAUACUACAUACUACAUGAUCAAGCACUGCAUCAGUCCUAGUUCUACUAUAUACUACAUGAUCAAUCCUCCUCGCCGGAGCUGCAGAGGUUGAUGUACAUCUCCCUCUGCUCCUCGCGGAUGCGCCGCCACUCGUCGUCCUUCGCCUUGGCGGCGAGGUUGGUUGCGACUGCCUGCCAGAAAUGGAGAUCUUUGAUCUCCUCGGUGUGGCGCCGGCGCUCUGCCUCCUCGUGGACGCUGCGCUCGGCAAUGAUGGCCGCAACCGCGUCCAUGUCGGCGACGAAGUCCUCGGGGCCGACGACUCCGCGGCAACCGAGCUCCUCGGGCUCCUCCUUAACGGGGACUAUCGCGCCGUCCUCCGGUUCCUCCGACCACUCCCGCUUCACGGGGAAAAGUCGCGAGCCGGAAGAGGAGGAGCUCCCGGCAUAGGAUCUCGCCACCGAGGACGAGGUCGCGGCCGAGGAGCCGUGCAGGCGAUCAUACUCCUCCGUCUCGCUCCGCCGGAAGCUCGCCGGCGGCUCCAUGCCACGGUUGGUCCACCUUCGUGCCCCGCGCUUCCUCGCGGCGUCCGAGCGGACGCGGCGCUCGCGCUCCAGGUCGCUUCUGCCGCCGGAUUUGCUUUCGCCGCCGCGUUCGGAGCUCCACAUGGCGGUUGGAGGCGAAAUGUGGUUGCCGGUGGCGAGAAAUGUGGAGAGGGAGGGUGGGGGAUUGCGUGGCUCGGCGGCGGCGGGGGAUAGGGUUUCAACCCGCAAACGCGCCGCGGAACCGUAGAUAUAGAGAUCGGGGCGGGAGGUUUGCGGGCAGCGGCAAAUAUUUUUACGGGCCGGGCGAGUAUGCGGGCUCUGUUCUGGUCGGAAAAAUGGGCCGAACCCGCAUACUCGUCGGAAUUUUGCGGGUUCGAGGCUUUUGCGGGGUCUGCUAGAGAUGCUCUUAGGAGCAUCCAAUUACCUACUAUUCGAUACUUUGCUCUUUUCAUCGGUAGAUGUUAUGGUGACCCAUCAUACCACUACAUGAUGUAGUAUUCAUGUCGUUGAUAUAACACCCACAAGACAGAGUCUUAUGAGCCUUAUAUCCCUUAGAGUGAACAACAGAAAAUAACGGGUCCAAACCAUAAGUAGAUAAACAACCCAACUCAUACAUUACGAAUUCAUUCGAAUAAGAUCCAAAAAAUUCAAACUACUGGUACUGACGAUAUGGUAAUUCUAGCCUUGGCCACGACUACCGUGACUAGCUUACUUCUGUGAUUAGCCUAUGCCUAAUGACCUGGCAUUUCUUCAUCCUGCAUCAACAAGGUGUAUAACAACAUCGGUCUUUUCUAUGUUUAUUAUUGGUGCUAUAUCCUAAAAAUCUUCUUCACACAAAGACAAAAGAAUUAUCCUAACGGUUGCACCGCAAUCACAUAAACCAUGAUAACNNNNNNNNNNNNNNNNNNNNNNNNNNNNNNNNNNNNNNNNNNNNNNNNNNNNNNNNNNNNNNNNNNNNNNNNNNNNNNNNNNNNNNNNNNNNNNNNNNNNNNNNNNNNNNNNNNNNNNNNNNNNNNNNNNNNCCAUGAUAACCAUGGUACCAACAGUACUAAUACGAAGCAUUAUGGAGUAUCUAUCAACUUGCAUUGCACAUACUAGUCAUUUACUAGUCACACUAGAAGCAUUGUUUAAUUAAACACACAAUUUCCUCUUCAGAUUCGCCAGUAUUCAAUUCAGAUUACCAGUAAUUAAUAAAGCUCCCGAAUUUGGAAAAACAAAAACAAGAGGCAGCCUCAAACGCACCCCAGCCCGUUUCCGCGUAGAGCCGACGGAGCUCCACUCGCGAGCCGCCAGAUCUGCAACCAAACCCGACCGACGCGCCGGAACGAACAAAACGUCCCACGCCCCACCGCUCGCACCGCACCUCUACCUCACUGGUGGGUGGUCCCGUCACUUGAAAAGCAGGGGCGCAACUGCAAGUGCGCAACGACUCCCCCNNNNNNNNNNNNNNNNNNNNNNNNNNNNNNNNNNNNNNNNNNNNNNNNNNNNNNNNNNNNNNNNNNNNNNNNNNNNNNNNNNNNNNNNNNNNNNNNNNNNNNNNNNNNNNNNNNNNNNNNNNNNNNNNNNNNNNNNNCCCCCUCCCCCUCCCCCGUUUGCGUUGCGCGUGUCAAAUCCCAUUCCCGUUCCCAUUCCCGGAGCCCCCCUACACUCGCCCGGCGGAUUCCAAUUUCCAGGAGUCCGCCUCCAAUUUCCUCGCAACAGCAGCUCCCCACCCCACCCCCCCCCCCGAGAUCUCCCCGACCGGCCUCGAGAUCCCUGCGCCCAUGUCGUCGUCGGCCAUGGACGCCAUCGUCGAGCUCGUCGAGCUCUCCGAGUCCAUGCGCCAGGCCGCCUCGCUCCUCGCCGACGACGACCCCUCCGACGACGCCGCCCCGCGCCGCCCCUCCACCUUCCUCAACGCCGUCGCGCUCGGCAACGUCGUAAGUGCCGCCGCCCCACAGCCCUCUCCCGCCCCGCCCGCGCCCUGAUCUGACGCGAUCCGGUUUUGUUCCCUUCCCUUCCCUUCNNNNNNNNNNNNNNNNNNNNNNNNNNNNNNNNNNNNNNNNNNNNNNNNNNNNNNNNNNNNNNNNNNNNNNNNNNNNNNNNNNNNNNNNNNNNNNNNNNNNNNNNNNNNNNNNNNNNNNNNNNNNNNNNNNUCCCUUCCCUUCCCUUCCGUGCAGGGGUCCGGCAAGUCGGCCGUGCUCAACUCCCUCAUCGGCCACCCCGUGCUGGUGAGUAGUGCCUCGUCCCUAGCUCUCGCUGUCCUCCGCCGCUUUAGGCCUUCGCUUGUGCUGACCAGUGGUGGCUGCUCUGCUGCAGCCGACGGGGGAGAACGGGGCCACGCGGGCGCCCAUAGUUGUCGACCUGCAGAGGGAUCCGGGCCUCAGCACCAAGUCAAUCGUCCUGCAGAUCGACAGCAAGUCGCAGCAGGUUUCUUCGAGUGAGUGAGAUCUCCCCCUGGCCAGCCAGAUCUGACAAUGCACGCGGGUGGUCGGUCCGCUCAGUAUGGUGACACUUUGUGCUUGUGUUGGCGUGCAGGUGCGCUCCGGCAUUCACUGCAGGAUAGGCUUAGCAAGGCCACCGGACCCGGGAGGAGCCGGACUGAUGAGAUUUACCUCAAGCUGCGGACAAGUACAGGUCUGUCGCUGGAUCACACAUGUUUACUCUAGUACUAGUAGUUUGGGCAAUGUUGCUAAUCUAGUAGCAAGCUGUAUAGUCAGGCAUUCCUGAGGGUAUGGUAUGUUCGAGCAAGUUUCCAAACUAGUUGUUUGGUAUUGAUAGCUUAAGUUUUAUGUGCCAUUUAAAGCUGAAAUGGCAAGACCUUAAGAUUGUGGAAGGCACCAAUUACUCAAAUCUAGCGUGCUCUGGUAUAGUUAUUACUACUUACUCAAAAGUGCGCUCUCUUAUUUUUCCAACGAUGCAAUUAAUCUGAUUUGGAAUACCAGCUCAAUAUAAUUUAAUCUGAUUCGAAAAUACCAACUCAAUAUCUGAGAGUUAUGCUACAUGCUAGACAUUAAUUCCCUGUCUUUCCUUUGCAAAUGAUUUCUCACCGUGUCUCUCUUUGUUUUUCCAGCUCCUCCACUAAAGUUGAUUGAUUUACCUGGCAUAGACCAACGAGUUAUCGAUGAUUCAACAGUGAGUACUGCUCACACAAUAAUUUUAUCUUACCUCUCAAGUAGUAAGCCACGCCUGGCUAAUCUUUUGAAUAUUCGUAGUCCUCAUGGUUAAAAUAUGAUUGUGGCAUUGUACCCAAUAUAUAAACUGGAAUAAUAUUUAACAUAUAGGAAUGGCUGGAACAUCAGAUCAGUGACAGCAUAUCAUGCACUUGAAUUGAGAAUCACUUACUGCCUGGCAUAACUAUGCUACUCCAUUCCCCCUCCCCAUCCACUUCCAACGUGGAAGAGAAGCACCAAAGUUGCAAUGUUGCGUAUCAUGUUUUGUAUCAUCUCAUGUUGUAUAACAUAGUGUUGUUAACAUUUCAGAUUAAUGAGUUUGCUGGCCACAAUGAUGCAAUAUUGAUUGUUGUGAUACCAGCAAUGCAAGCCCCUGAGGUUGCAUCAUCCCGAGCUCUUAAACUGGCGAGGGAUAUUGAUCCAGAGGGUCUGUCAUUUGAGUCUGAUGAUACAUCCUCCAGAAAAGUAUAGCAUUCUCUUCGUAGCAACUGAUGUUUUUUCAUGUCAUCCUUGUAGGAACCAGAACAAUAGGUGUCUUGAGUAAAAUCGAUCAAGCCGCAUCAGAUGCAAAAACAGUUGCAUGUGUUCAGGCCAUUUUGUCUAAUAAAGGCCCACGCACUGCAGCUGAAAUUGAGUGGGUUGCUUUAAUAGGGCAAUCUGUUGCAAUCGCGUCAGCUCAAUCAGGAUCAGUUGGGUCUGAGAAUUCACUGGAAACAGCCUGGCGAGCUGAGGCGGAAAGCCUUAAAUCAAUAUUAACCACUGCUCCUCAGAAUAAGCUGGGAAGAAUUGCUCUUGUUGAUACCAUUGCUAAGCAGAUACGUAAGCGGAUGAAAGUGCGGCUACCUAACUUGUUGUCUGGGUAAGCAUCAUGACCUAUAUGUUGAAGCUUCUACUUGUCCAUGAAAUGCUGAAGUAAUACCAUCUUUCAAACUCCUUACAGAAAUUUGCUAUGACCACUGAACUAUUCUGCUCAACUAACCAUCCAUUCUAUUUAUCAAUUAAUUGAUCAUCAGUGCACCAUGAAACAUGAAUAUUUCUUAUCUUUUGUCUUUUAUAUAUAAAAAAUAACCUGAUUGUGAUUUCUGGUGUUUAAUUUUGCAUAUACCUGUACCCUUGCUCUAUUUCUCAGGCUUCAGGGCAAGUCUCAGGUAGUGAAAGAUGAACUUGCAAGGCUUGGAGAAUCGAUGGUACAAAGUCCGGAAGGAACCAGGGCUGUUGCUUUGGAGCUGUGCCGAGAAUUUGAAGAUAAGUUUCUCGCUCAUGUUACUUCUGGUGAGGUUAGUAAUAAGCUUGAGUUAUGGUCAUUGUCUAUACCUAAUUUAGUACUCCCUCUGUCUCAAAAUGUAAGACGUUUUUUUGACACUAAUAAGGUACUGAUUAUAAUAUCAUUAUACUGUUCUCAAUCAAUAGGGGUCUGGUUGGAAAAUUGUUGCAAGUUUUGAGGGCAAGUUUCCAGAUAGGAUCAAACAGCUUCCAUUGGACAGGCAUUUUGAUCUGAACAAUGUCAAAAGGGUAAAUUUAAAAGCUCCUCUAAAUUAAUACUAGAGUGUACUACUAUAUUGGCCUAAGAUGAACAUUAUUCUCUUCAUAUUCUAGAUUGUCUUGGAAGCUGAUGGUUAUCAACCAUAUUUGAUAUCCCCGGAAAAAGGUUUAAAAUCCUUGAUUAAAGGAGUGCUUGAAAUGGCGAAGGAGCCAUCACGACUAUGUGUUGAAGAGGUAUGUCUUAGCUUAGACAUAUGUUAUGCCUUUGGAUUUUCUUUUUGGAAAAGGAGGUUAAAACCCCGGCCUCUGCAUCAAUCGAUGCAUACAACCAUCUUCCUUAAUUAUUCAACGAAGGACUGACAAAAACAUACAUGAAGCCACCCAAGCCACCACUCACACCUACAAACUCGAUAAUGUGGAGUGCUCUCACUCCCCAUAUCUAAAACCGGUGUCGUCGUCGAUCCAUCCACAUAACGUAUCGGAGCCUACAGCCGGUGCAACAAAUCUAAAGCGUACACCACAUGCACACGUUUUAGAAGCCGCCAUCAUUGAAGUCCCGUGCUAAUAUUCAAUACAAUGUUUUAUCUGUGAAGUAGUCAUUGCGUGGAUAUGCAACUGUUUGUGACUUUGUGUAGCUUACCAGUUAUUAUUUUUGUCAAUACAGUAGGUAUGAAACUGUCCAAAACACUUGGACUCAGACAUUUGUAAUUACCUUAAUCUUAUAGAUGGGAUUGAGCUAGUCUCAAAUGUACAGUUGUACACUAUACAUAUUCAAGUGUUAUCAAACAGAGCUCAAGCCCAUAAUAUACCUGUGUGUGUGUGCGGGUGUGUCCCCGUGUGUGUGUGUGUGUGUCCCCGUGUGUGUGUGUGUGUGUAUUAUGUUAUGGAGGCAAGCUCCAAGCUUGAAUCCAAAUUUUAGUUUGCUUGAGCUCAGCCUAAUAGGUAUAUUUUGCAUUGGUAGGAACUGACUAUGUAGCUUCUGAUAUAUCAGUUUUCUUAAACUAGGUACACCGUGUAUUGUUAGACAUAGUAAAUGCUACUGCAAAUGGCACACCAGGACUCGGAAGAUAUCCUCCGUUCAAACGCGAGGUGCCAACUUACUUCCCUUUUUACUGCUUGUAUACACAAAUCUUACUCAUUAUUAGUUCUGACCACAACAUUCCACCUUUUCUUUUGGCAAGAUCAUUACAAUUGCAUCUAAUGCGUUGGAUACAUUCAAAAGUGAUGCAAAAAAGAUGGUGGUUGCACUCGUUGAUAUGGAGCGUGCCUUUGUCCCCCCACAACAUUUCAUCCGUUUAGUACAAAGAAGGUAAGGUUGGCUGGGCCAUUAACAAAUAUGUUGGCAAUUGGUUUCAUUUCAUUUGAUCAACUUAAGUGUAACUUUGGCAAGUAAUCUAUUUCUCCUACUUCUGUUUCCUGUUAUUUGUAAAUUGGCAGGCCAAGUUUUUAAUAUUCUUAACUCUCAUGUUUUUAAAACCAGAAAAAGCUAAUGUGGGAUCAUAUUAGUGACAUUAGAAGUAGCACUAGCAACCUAAAUUAGACUGCCAAAAUGCUGAAGUUUUUUCCUUACAAAGCGAUACAGAAUAGAGUGGACCACUUUCUUUAACUUCUAAGUUAGAAAAAUGAUUCUCGCUUGUAAUGAUCUGUCGUACUAUAAGCAGUCUAUAAGUUGAGAUGUCCUUUCAGAGUUUUCAUUAUCAUAUUCACAUAGUUCAAUUUUAAUCUUUUUGCCUGGCAUGAUAUUCACAGAAUGGAAAGGCAGCGUCGUGAGGAUGAGGUGAAAACUAAAUCAUCUAAGAGAGCACAAGAUGCUGAGCAAUCCAUGAACAAGGUAUCACUUCUCGUCUUUGCUUGCAUGAAUCUGCAUACCUACAAAACUAAAUACAGAUUGAUCACCAUAUAUCUGUGCUGGUCUGGCUGUUCAUAACUUUACAUUGAUUGUAUUUCAUAUUAGGGUUCUGAGCAAUCUGGUGGUAGCCUGAAGUCGUCAAAAGACAAAUCCAAUCAGCAAGAUAAAGAUACGAAAGAGGGACCUAAUCUGCAGGUUGCUGGUCCUGGUGGCGAAAUAACUGCAGGUAUAUUACUUCACCAUAGUGUGGCUCAACUUCAGCUGUUCUCAGAACAAUUUGCUAGCACUUUUGCUUUUAUGCAACUAUGAUUAAAACUGAAAGUCACAGAGAUUUAUUUGACCUAGCUCCAAUGCCAUUUUUUUAUCCAGUAAAAUGAAAUAAGCCUUCUGAUAAGAACCAACCUUUUUGUCUGCUUGUUAAUUCCAUGCCGACUAACAUAAUAUUCCAUUGUCUAGUAUACAAUGCAUGCAUAAAGAUGUAUUCCCUCUGUAAACUAAUAUAAGAUCUUUUAGAGGGAGCACCAAAUUACAUGGCUUUGAUGAUUUCUUUUCCAGUAAUUUGAGUUUGAUUUAUUGAUAUACAAGCAUAUGUUUCCUUCUCUCUUUAGGUUACCUAUUGAAAAAGAGUGCAAAAAACAAUGAAUGGAGCAAAAGGUGGUUUGUCCUAAAUGAGAAGAGUGGAAAGGUAAAUCUGUCCUGACGCCCACUAGUCUCAACUGUUCUGAAUGCAAACUUUUGAUACUAUUCUUGACAUUUACUGCUGAUUUUUUAAUAUUUGAGGUGGUUGGUGUCAUUUACUUUAAACUUUUCCUGUCCAGCUUGGCUACACCAAGAAACAAGAGGAGAGACAUUUUCGAGGAGUCAUUGUCUUAGAGGUGUGCUUUAUUAUAUAUUUUACCGUGUUCAUUUUGGUCUACUUGACAUUGAGUAAUCGAUGAUGCAUUACUUUAUCAUUCAUGGUUGUAAUAUACACAGUAAAUUUUUGCCGAGUCAUCGUGGAUGGUUCCAUUUUUUAGAACUUUGUUUAAAAGAUAUUUGAACUUAGAAACAUCAUGUCUAAAACUAUGGGAGCUGUCAUAUAAACUAUCAUAAUAACAGUAUGCUGUGUGAUUCAGGAAUGUAACCUGGAAGAGAUAGAGGAGGAAGAGCUUUCUAAAACUUCUAAGGAUUCAAAGAAGGCAAAUGGGCCAGAGAAAGGCCCAAGUCUCUUAUUUAAGAUUACUAACAGGGUUGCCUACAAAACUGUGCUGAAAGGUUGCUGCCUCUAUUCCUCUAAUCCAAAUAUCCCAAGGUUUAUUCUGAUUCUACUGCUUUAAUGUUUAUUUCAUGUUGCAGCUCAUAGUGCCGUUAUAUUGAAGGCUGAGAGUAUGGCUGACAAGAUUGAAUGGGUGAAGAAGAUAAAAGGUAUUAUUCAGAGCAAAGGUGGGUCUGUCAAGAGUUCAAAUACUCCUGAGGGCGGUUCCAUGAGACAAAGCCAUUCAGAUGGAUCUCUUGUAAGCUCCACACUUUGUUUGUCUGUGUCCUUUUCCUAUAUCCAUCAUAAGCUUUUACAACUUACUUUCCAGAGUUCGUUGCCUAAUUUGUUUUCUGUGAGCUCUCUGUCUUGUGCUUAUGCUUAUUUCGAGUUAGCACGUUUCUCAUUUCAAUGUGUGAUGUUGCUUUACUCUACCAACCAAUGACACAUGAUCACACCUUCUCUCUCAAGGAUACGAUGGCCCGGAGGCCUGCUGAUCCUGAAGAAGAACUCCGAUGGAUGUCUCAAGAAGUUCGCGGUUAUGUCGAGGCUGUGCUGAACAGUUUGGCAGCAAAUGUUCCAAAGGUAUAUUUGUCCCUGUCAAUUAUUUUAACAUUGUCAACUCUCAACUGUGGCAUUCAUUAUCUUAUGCAUGAUCAAUUGAUCAGGCUAUUGUGCUUUGCCAAGUGGAGAAAGCAAAAGAAGAUAUGCUAAACCAGCUGUACAGCUCAAUAAGGUUGGAUUCCCUGUUUGUUCUGAAACAAAAUUUGUUAUCCUGGUUCUGUGUCCAUUUGUCCAUUCAUCAGUCUCCUCUUUCUUUUACCUAAUUGACUGAAAAAUGGACCACCCAUUUGGAAGAACUACAAUGCUUUUGUCUAAUCCUACCUAAACCCUAGUUUAACUCACAGUUGUGGCCUUAUGGGUCCUUGCUAAUGGGUAGGUUCAUUUUGAGUAGCUUCAUUAUGUUUAUUUUCCUUCUACUUAUGUUACUUUUAUGAGGUGUAUUUUAUACUGGGAAAUGCUUCACGACCAAAAAGUUGCAUCCUUAUUUACAAAGUGACAUCACCGAUCCAAUUGAUUCACACAGUUCUGGCUCCUAUCACUUUUCACAGUCGCACACCUGCACCUAAUAUGCACCCACCAUAGUAUAGCUCAUCUGGUUUUUGCUAUUUUACAUUUUUUCGACUGGAUAGUCUGCCCUUCUUUAUUUAAAUGCUGUUCACACUGUUUUGAUUAAACCCAAGUCUGCAAAGCUCAGUCACGUGAUGGUCCCAUUCACACUUGGGUCUGUUUGCAGGUGAGCAGCUGCUAACCUUUUCUGCAGAACUCUUUGCAUAACAUUUUUAUUUUGCUUAUUUUCUUCUAUAUCUGAAUACUGUAUCUUGGGGCAUGACAUAUCCGAACUAGAAAUAAGGUGAUGGCUUUGGUAUAAAUCCCUCCCAGCUACCUACCCAAAAUACUGUCAUCCACUUGAAACAUUGUCCAUUUCUUACUCUGAACUUGUAGAAAUGUUGAAAAAGCAUGUGCCCUGUUCCUUUUUCACUCUAUUUGAGUAUCUUUCUAUAAUGUGUUGCAGUGUUGCUAACGCUGUCUCAAUUUUCACUUUCAGUUCACAAAGCAAUGCAAGGAUUGAAGAACUUCUCCAAGAGGACCACAAUGCUAAGCGUAGACGGGAAAAGGCCCAAAAACAAUCGACUCUUCUGUCGAAACUUACUCGUCAGCUCAGUGUCCAUGAUAACAGAGCUGCAGCUGCAUCAUAUUCUGACGAUACUUCUGGUCCAGGUAAGCGGGUUAUUUCAAUUAUCUGUUUCGUACUUCAGUAUCAGCAGCCAGCCGAAACCUCAAUAUUGGUCGAUGCAAAUGAGACCUAGAACUUAUUAAACUAUAUAGAAGUUAAGCAUUAAAAUCCCUCAAAAUAAUUCAUCCGGGGGGGGGGGGGGNNNNNNNNNNNNNNNNNNNNNNNNNNNNNNNNNNNNNNNNNNNNNNNNNNNNNNNNNNNNNNNNNNNNNNNNNNNNNNNNNNNNNNNNNNNNNNNNNNNNNNNNNNNNNNNNNNNNNNNNNNNNNNNNNNNNGGGGGGGGGGGGGGGGGAUGCACCUUUUCGCUUGUUUUACAUAGCGUCUGCAAAAAAUUCAGACCUGUUUUAUAUGCAAACAAACCUGGAAUACUACAGUAGAGCGUUUCACACCAGGUGAGGUACUUGGUUCAAAGCUCAAAUUUGUUAUAUCGAGGUUGGGCUGUGGUGGCACACAUCCUUGGCCAAAACUUAGGAGGGACAAUAUGCUUGCGUUAGGUUCAGGGCCUUGUGGUCCCCACUCGUGAGCAUGCUAGUUUUGAGUUGCUAAACAUUCUUUCCUUGGUUUUAAAAUAUCUCGAUUGUAUUUUAUUUUGUAUUGAUAGCUAUCACCGACUGAGUAAGAUAAAAUAUGCAUCUAAAGGGAUGCUACCAUACUGCCCAUGAUAUUAAUGUCUUGGGCACUAGAGAUAAAAUAAAGGAGGCUAUGUAGGAGAGGGUGGAAAUAAAUGAAGGCAAAGGAGAGGUGAAUUUACAUGCGCCUUUUAUUCUAAGACGUGAUUACAGAUAUUAGUAAUACCCCUGGGAUAUAAUUUUCUUCAUUUUAUUCUGCUUUACUGGUGCACAAAUCAAACCUUUACCCUGACGAAAUGAAACAUCACUUGCAGAGAGUGGCCCACAGAGCCCUAGCCAGUCGGGUGAGGACUGGAGGUCUGCCUUCAGUGCUGCAGCAAAUGGCUCUGCCGACCGAUCCAGUUCACAGAACGAGUCAAGAUCGAGAAGUGCUGACAGUCGGGGCCGGCGGUAUGAAAAUGGGGACGCCAAUGGUGCCAAUUCAGGCAGCCGACGCACACCAAAUCGGUUGCCACCUGCACCGCCGAAAUACUAAGGAUGUUGAUUGGCAAUGUGAGAAUCAUAUUUUUCAUGGCAUGCUCUCACUCCCUUGUGAUAUUGAUGGGAAAACAGACUGGGAUGAAGAAUAGAGAGCUGGCGAGAGAUCGCAUGAAUGGUGUGUAUCCAGAGGACCUCAGUUGUUUAUAGAAAUAUGUAGGUUAUGUAUGGUGAUUGUUACGCGAUCAUUUUGCUAUAUUGAUCAGUCUGAUGCUCUCUCGGCCUGUGAGAUUUUGUUGCCACAUAUCAGUUGAUCUUGGUUCUGAACUCUGUUGUUGUAACUUGUAAGUCUUCCAUCAAACUUGCAAUGUAUCAUUUUCACCCAUUGGUGUAUUAUAUUCCUUCCAUUCUUUUUGACCUCACGAGAUUCGUGUUUUUAAUUCGAGCUGAUAUGUUGGGUAUUGUAUGCAAGGGAUCUGGUUGGUAUUGUAUGCAAGGGAUCUGGAUCAUCAUUCUUUGAUUGGCCACGAUAAAAUCUUGAGCAUUCUUGUUCAUACCGUUUAUGUGUUCUUCUGGCCACCUCUGUAACUGCUUCAUCCUUGGAUUUUAAUUUCCUAGUUUUUCUCUUGCUGUCCUAGGGGCAUUAGUUCCCUGAUUCAAAAUUUUGGGAUUAAAGAUAGCAGACCCCAAUUAGAAUCUCGAAUGAUUGUAUGGGGAACUAAGAAAAAGAAACUGGUUACGAAAAUUCAACUUUGCUCUUGAGAUCACAUGCGUUCGAGUGAACAACGAAACAAAAUAAAAAAUCAUUUUUUAUUUGUUUGAAAUAACCAUGUUUGAGUUUUUUUAGAGAAAUAUUGCAAUUAUAUUAACAAAACAUCACCAUCAUUACAAUCAGAUAGCACCAGCAAUUCCAGAUCCAGAGAUAGUUGGCCCAAAAAGAUGGCCCCUCUACCACUGAUUUGAGAAUGUUAGCUAGUUUAUGAGCACAUUUGUUGUCCUCUCUUUCGAAAAACAAUGUCUGCUCUAGUCUGCAGCAGCUCAGUAAUCACUAUAUAAUGCUCUCUUCAAGCUAUUAAAGGGGUGCAGGUGACAGAAUGUUUGAAAUAACAGCCCCGCGUAAUCAGAAUCAAGGAUGAUCUCUAGAUAAAGAAAGAAAAAUGACAUCGUGGUGCCGUGGGCCUUCUUUCGUGCUUUGCUGUUGAUCUAUCCCCUGUUGACGAGCGAUAACAUAUCCAAGCGUAGACAAUUAUUAAGCAAACUCGAUAGAAUCACCGAUGUAUAACUUGAAUUCUCAUUUUCCUUUUCUCGUAUGUACAGGCAGCGAAUUUACAUUUGCAUGUCACAUGUGAAUGCCUCCACCCUUUGUUUUUUCCUCGUAUUUCUACACCCAUCUCCAUCCUUCCUGUGUAUCAAGAAACCUCCAAAGAAGGAGAGAAAAAUGAACAAAAGAAUGGGGAAAAUUGUACAGCCCCCUGGACCUAUAACCCCUAUCUAAUCCAUUUACACCUCGGCCGCCACCUUCUCCUCCCUGGCCAUCCGGUUGAGCUUGGCGAACAUCCCGACCAUGGGCGCGGUGUUGUACGUGCACGCCUCCGUCUGCAUGUAGUUGUCCCGGUUGUCCCUGAACCUGUCCCUCCGGUCGGGCCCGCCGACGAUGGCGCCGACGAGCACGUUGGGGUUGGAGCUCCGGCGGCCGAACCAGUGGUCGAACCCCUGCGUGCACCCGAUGAACUGCUUGCUGUGCUUGUAGGGCACGAUGGAUGCCGCGCGGUGGUGCACCCUGGCGGGGUACUUGGCGCCGUACCCCACGAGGUAGCUCACCCCCCUCGGGUUGCUGCCCAGCACGUAGUCCACCUGCGCCCUGGCCAGCGCGGCCACCUCGCCGGCGCCCGCCGUCUCGCCGCCGGCGCAGGCCACCGUCCCCACGCCGGCCCCCGCCAGGUAGUCGGCGUAGGUGGAGAGCAGGAACGCCGCGUUGGUCACGUACUGCAUGUUGUUCCACUGCCGGAUGUAGAGCAUCCCUCCCGGGCUCCGCUCCACGUUGGCGUCCUCGCCGCCGGCCGCGUUCCGGCCCAGGCACGCGCACACGUAGUGCUCCGCCUUGGCCUGGUACUGCUCCAGCGUCCUCUUCUGCUCCGCCGUGUGCUCUCCCCUCAGCAGCAGCUGCAAUUAAUUAAUCAUUUGGUCUCCUCGUCAGUGACCGGCCGGCCGUCUAGUGAUCGAUCCUUCACAUGCAUGAUAGCUUACGUACCCUUGCGGCGAGGAUCUGGACGCCGGCGUACUUGACGUCCCAGCUGAACUCGGUGAUGGCCCAGCCGGUGCCGCCGAAGUCGUGGGCGUUGUCGACGACGUAGUCGAGGUAGCUGGCCUUGCCGGUGGCGCGGUGGAGCCACAGGGCGGCCCACAGCAGCUCGUCCUUGUACCCGCUCACCGACGCGUAGUAGCUCUUCACCUCCGCUAUGCUGCUGUCGUAUUGGCCCCUGUACCCGUCCGCGAACUCGAACAACUGCACGCACGUUCACAAAAAGCCAAAGUAAACAUGAUCAGCCAACAACAACUAAGAUUGUAACGCUGUUAGUUUGGUUUGUUCAUAAAUUAUUUAAGAAAGCCCUAAUGAUAAUUAAGGUUGCAUACGUAUCGUAUCAUUCAUUGACGCAUUUUAUAGUUGACGCUUGAAGAGCAUGCAGCAGGUGGGUGGCCAGGUCAGUGGGUGUGAAUACGGAGCGGUUCAAUUAGCACAUGAUGAUGACACGACGACCGCUUCCUAAUAAUGUUCCCAGUUAAGCAUGUGAUUGAUUGAACUGGCCACCUAAUCAUAUAUACAUGCAUGGCCGGAGGCAGGCAGCAAAUGGAAAGUUUCCCAUGACCCCCGUCCACCAGAUAGAGGUUGCGUUCCGGCGGCCCCACACGGCAGCCAGCCCCUACGAUGGAUCGACGUCGAUCGUGUUGAGGUGUUGGCAACUUGGCAUGUGCGGCACAAGAAAAGAACACCGCCCAUGAAAAGACCGGCACCCCCCUUGACCAAAGCUACCAAUACGCGCGCUAUGUUCCAAAAUCCAGUACGCGGACAGACUGGUGCUACACGAAGCUCCAAACUUGCACCGAUAUUUUUUUCCGUUCCAUUUUUCCACAUAGGACCUUGCAUGCACCGCGUACGUCAAUGUAUACGUGUGUGUGUGUGUGUGUCGAGUAUGUAUGUAUGUAUGUAUGUAUGUAUGUACCUGCUGGGCGUGGUGGAGGAGGAGGUGGGCGUAGUGCGGGUUGGAUUUGCGGAAGACCAUGGAGGCGGCGGCCAUGGCGGCGGCCGUCUCGCCGGCGACGUCGGAGCCCGGGUGGUCGCGGUCGACCUUGUACGCCUGCCGCGACGUCGUCAUGUCCUCCGGCCGCU